CAAAAUCAACAAAUUUCAAUGGCCGUAGUGAGCCGUUUGCAAGUUUAACGGUGUAGAAAUAUCCAAAUCACGUGAAAUUUUGAUAGAAAAUUCUUUAUACUAUAUAAAACAAGAUCAAUAUCUUUGAUUUAAAAUUUUAAUGUCAUAUUAUUACAUUUUGUAAGAUUUUUAUUUUCAGCCGUUGAUUUUGAGCCCCUUCGUUCACUAGGCAAAUAAUAUCGUAAAAUUAUAAAAUUUAUUUUCUAGGUACUUCAAAUACUCUAGAUCAAGUUUAAUGGAGCCGAUCGACGAUUCGAAAGUCGCAACAUCGAAAAAGAGCUGGAAGCACGGAAGGCUCCGUGCUUCCGAUAGCAUAGUAGCUUACUAUGUAUAUAUAUAUACAUAGAGAGAGAGAAAAAGAGAGAGUUGAGCUAGAAUGCUGUCGAUAGCAAACGAGCUCUGUUGUCACCCAUUUGUUUUCGAUGAUAGAGCCUCCAAAUCGACGAUCGGCAUCGUUGAACAUGAUCUAUACCACUUGAAGUGUUUAGAAAUCAAAUUUCUAAUCUUUUCGACAUCAUUUGCCCAAUGAUCAAAGGGUUUCAAAAUUUGUAAUUUUAAUGGUCGAUAUGAGGCGUUUUCUCGUUUAACGGCGUAAAAAUAUCCAAAUCAAAUGAAUUUUUAUAUCUUUAUAUAAACAUUAAGUGAUACAAACACUCCUGAACAUACGUUAAUUGGGUUUACGUUUACAGCGAAAACUUUCAACUUUGAAGAAAAAGGGACAUAGAUUUUCCGGUGUACGAACCACCCCAACGUGUUCGGGUGAGUCGUUUUUCUGUUGCAACACACGAAUCACCCGACCCGGUGUCGAAGUACCCGGGGUGGUUCUUUCGUUGCAAUCACUUCCCUGAAAGGAUCAGUGAAACCAAAGAGGUGUUACCAGAACAAAAUAAUAUCAAACCACUCGAUGAAAGUGCAAGCUCUUGUUAGUGGAACAAUAAAGUAUUGUUGUGGCUAAAAUGACAAUACGUACUUUGAACGGGUGAGGGAAAUUCAUGCACUAGACUCUAAUCUAGAACCAAAAUCGUACUAGACUCGUCCUAUAUAUAUAUAUAUAUCUCAGGCCGAUGAUAUGAAAAUACUCAUAAUCGAGGGAAUAUGAGUAUUCAAAAGCCAGAAGUCUAAAUAAGGUAAUUAAUAAAAAUAGGCAAUCUAGUAUGAUAAGUUGGUUGAUAGGUGAGUUGGGAUCUCUUGGUGAUAGUAAAAUUCACCCCUGGUGGUAGUAGGAUUGGUGUAUUGCAGAAUAAAUUAAUCGUACUCCGCACCCCAAAUAAAUAAAAAGAAAAAAAAGUUGAUGAUGAAAAUCAUAAAAGAAUAGAAGAGUUGCAGGCGGCGAAGUGAAGGAGGGUAGGGAAAAAAAAAGAGGAGGGGUCGGGUGAGAUGGAAGAUAAAAAAACACAGCUCAAGAAAUCAACAAAGUCCAGUAUCACCACCGCCUCCGCCACUUACACUACCGUUAUCUCUGGUUUCGCCGCCGCCGACGACGCCGAUACUUUUGUUAUCGUUCGGAGUAGGAAAAUCUCUGGUUAUGGUUAAUUAGGGGUUUUCUUUACGGUGCACCGACACAAAGGAAGUGAACCGAAAGUAGAAUACUUUGGUUGGUAAACAGAAAGGAUGCGUAUAUUGCAGAGUAAAUUAAUCGUACUCCGCACCCUAAAUAAAAAAAAGAAAAAAAAGUUGAUGAUGAAAAUCAUAAAAGAAUAGAAGAGUUGCAGGCGGCGAAGUGAAGGAGGGUCGGGGGUAGUUAGUUGCCAAUUUUUAAAUACUCAUGUUCCCACAGAUAUGAGUAUUUUCAUAUCAUCGGGGUCGGAUAUAUAUAUAUAUAUUAACUCGAGGAUACGAAAAUUUUCAUGGUUCAAUAAUCACGAACAUCUAAAAAUCGUUAACCUAAUUCUUUAUAUGCCAAUCCUACUACACCCGGGGGAUCCCAACUCACCCACCAACCAACUUAUCAUAUUAGAUUACCAACUUUUACUAGGCUCCUUAUCUAGAUUGCCAUUUUUUUGAAUGUAUCGUGGUUCGUGAACUACGAUAAUGUUCAAGUGGUGUCAAUCUUAGAUAGGUAUACUGGUAUAAGUGGGCAAUCUAUAUAUGAUAAGUUGUUUUGUGGGUGAGUAUAGUAUCUCUCUGGUAAUAGUAGGAUUGUCGUGUAAAGAAGUAGGUUCUCUGUUUUUUUCUCGUGUUUCUCAGUUCUGAUCUUAUGAUAGCUAUCGUGUUUCCGGAGGCAACGGUGGUUUAACAAAGGUUACUACGUCGGAGUUUUAGCUGCUAGUUGUGUCAAUUUGUACUAGAUGUGGAUAACUUUCAUAACUCUUUGAUUUUAAGUAUUUAAAAGCCGUUGUAACAUGAGAAUGGUUUGCUCAUCUGUGUUUUUAUUUGCCGGCUUUUACUUUUUAGAGUAUUUUUUACUACUAUUUUCUGAACUUUAGUUCUAGUUCUCCAUAUCUUGAAUGAGAUUUAUCACUUUUUUAAAAGAUUAUNCUCUCUCUCUCUCUCUCUCUCUCUCUCUCUCUCUCUAUAUAUAUAUAUAUAUAUAUAUAUAUAUAUAUAUAUAUAACUAGGCUGUAAUAUUAUUAAUAGCACCAAUGACUUGGUGCUAUAAAAUUUCUGCCAUUGGAUUAAAAUGUGUGCGGUUAGGAUGAUGUUGGCCCCCUAGGGUUGGGUGGGUAGUUGGUUAAAUAGUAUAACCGAACGGAUGAAAAUGAUAAAAGAGGUAAAUCUAACGGCAGAAAACUUGAUAGCACCAAAUGUUUCGUACUAUAUAUCGAUAGUAUCCCAGCCAAAUUAUAUAUAUAGAGCUAGGCUGGUAUACUAUCGGUAGCACGAAGGUCUCCGUGCUACCAAAUUAUUUUUAAUGAUGCGGCUUUCCAAUCGAUGAUCGGUUCCAUUAGAUUUAAUCUACACUAUAAAAAAUAUUUGAAAAUUAAAUUUCAUAAUUUUUCGAUGUCAUUUGGCUAGUGAUCAAAAGGUCUCAAAAUUGACAAUUUUAAUAGUAGAUGUGAUGCGUUUGUAAAUUUAACGGUGUAAAACAAUUCAAAUAUGAUAAAAUUUUUAUAGAAAAUUAUUUCACUAUUUAGAGUAAGUUCAAUACCUCUAAUCUUAAAUUCAAGUCUUUUAUCAUCAUUUUUUAUGAGAUUUUUAUUUUCGGCCGUUUAUUUUUAAACUACUCGUUUGGUAGGUAAAUGUUGCCGAAAAAUUAUAAAAUGUAGUUUCCCAAUACUUUCAAUAGUGUAGAUCAAGUCUAACUGAGCCGAUCGUCGAUUUGGAAGCCGCAUAAUUGAAAACAAUUUGGUAGCACGGAGGCCUCCGUGCUACCGAUAGUAUACCAGUCUUGCUCUUGGUGCUAGUUUUUUGACCCUUGGAUGAAGAAAUGUGCGGUUAGGAUGAUAAUGGUCUUCUAAGAUUGAGUGGGUGUUUUGUUGAAUAGUAUAAUCUAACGGGUGAAAAUGGUCAAAGGGAUAGAUUCUAACGGCGGAAAACUCGAUAGCAUCAAGUGCUUAGUGCUAUCGAUAAUAUAUAGUAGCAGGACUCUAUAUAUAUAUAGAACUAGGCUAAUAUACUAACGGGUGGUUGGUUGAAUAGUAUGAUCUAACGGGUGAAAAUGAUCAAAAGGGUAGAUCUAACGGCGGAAAACUUGGUAGCACCAAGUGCUUCGUGCUAUUAAUAGCAUAGUAGCCGAACUCCUCUCGCUACUCGAUCCUCGUCUCUGUAGAGAAAAUAUAAGUAUAGUAUGAUUAAGUAGUAGUAUAUGAGAUAAAUAGUAGGAGUUAGCUAGACUACCUCAAAACGAUAGGGAAACGGGUGCAUUUUACUAUCGAGUUGUCGAUGAUAGAAGCUUGCCCUAAAUUUGAGAUCGCCUCGUGAACCAUUAAUCAUACCAAUUAACAGUUUUAGAAAUCAAAUUUUAAAUCUUUUUCGAGCAUUAUUUGCCUAACAUAAUCAACGGCGUUUCAAAACUUCUAUAAUUUUAAUGUGGAUAAUAGACGUUCUCAUUAAGCGGUGUAAAAUAACUCCAACAAUUGACAUUUUGUUAGAAAUUCUUUAAACUUUUAAAACAAGAUCUAUACUCUGAUCUUGAUUAAAUGACCCUAUCAUGCAUUUUAAAGAAUAUUCAUUCAACACAUUCAUUCUGUUCACUAUCAUGCAUACAAAAAAAGAUCGAAAGUGCUGAAAUUUGAUUUCUGGUAGUUAAAUGGUUUAGAAUCAUAUUUAACGGGAGCGAUCGUCAAUUUGAGCUCUACAUCGAAAACGUAACUCGAUAUAAAAUGCUCGCUUUACUAUCAGAGUAUUCUAGCUCAACUCUAUAACUACUACUAGCUUAUUACCACUAUAUAUAUAUAAGUAUAUACUAUAAUAUAAGUAUAUAGUAGUAGUACUACGGAGGAGGACGGUCGAAAGCAAAGUAGUUGAGCUUCCGUUUUAGGACCCUUGAUGAUGAGAGCGUUCAUCUGUACAUCGUAAAUCAUGAUAAUAUACACCAAUGUGACACUCAAGCGCCUAGGUACGCCUCAAACCGAGGCCGCUACGGUCCCGGAACGGGAGAAGUUUUAGGCCAAGGCUAAAAAAUUGAAGAUCAAUACUUUAUGUUUUCGAUAGUAUAGUAGCACUUCUACACCUGAUAUAUAUAUAUAUAUAUAUUCAUAUAAUAUAUAUAGAUGAGAGAGAGAGAUGAGAGAAGAGAGAGAGAGAGAGAGAGAGAGAGCAGAGGAGCGCAUAUCCUUCUAUACUAUCUAUAGCGGAGCCUGCGUUACAUAGUCACGUUUUGCGAUCUUAGGGUUCAAAUCAACAUCCACAUCGUUAAAACUGAUUAUAAUAUAAAGUUCUUAAAAUAAAAUUUUAUAUUUUUUCGACAUAGUUUACUUUAUGAUCAAACUAUUUCAAAAUUGUCAAUUUUCAAAGGUUACUAUGGCGAGUUUGGAGUUUAACGGCGUAGAAGGAUCUAAAUUUUUUCAAAUUUUGAUAGAAAAUACUUUAAACUAUCUAGAUUAUGGUUAACAUUCUUGAUCUUGAAUUUAAAAGUUCCAUACUCAAAUUUUAAAGAUUAUUCAAUUUUUACCGUCCAUUUUGACAUAAUUUAUUUACUAAGUAAACGAUGUCGAAAAAAACUAAAAUUUUAUUCCUAAGAACUUCAUAUACCCUAGAUCAUAUUUAACGGUGUGGAUCGUUAAUUUGAACACCGUAAGAUCGAAAACAAGAUUAUAGUACCGAAGCUCCGGUACUAUAGAUAGUAUAGUAGCCUAAUUCUAUAUAUAGAACUAGGCUGGAAUACUAUUAAUAGCACCAAUGACUUGGUGUUAUUAAGUUUUCUACCCUUAGAUUAAAAGAUGUGCGGUUACGAUGAUGUGGGCUCCCCUAAGGUUUAAUGGGUGGUUAAUUGAAUAGUAUAAUCGAAUGGAUGAAACUACAACAGAAUUAGAUUAUAGAGACACAUGUUUGGGACACUUUUAUGUAAGUGUCCAAUUUAUGUCAAAACUUAAAAAAAAAUCUACUAAUGCCUAAAUAUAAAACCCAAUCCAACCAAAAAUAAAAGGUUACUCUACUCAACUCACCCCACCCAGCCCAUUCGGCCCGAUUACAAACAGAAAAGAAAAAAAAAAAGAAAAAUCGAUUAUCAUCUCCCAUUCUCUUCUCACUCAAUCCACUGAAAUUCUAAACGAAAAUCCCUUCCUCUCGUUCUCCUCCGCUACCGCAGCCAACGAGGUAGAGUUCCGGUGGUUAGUAAAUGCUUAAAUAAGUGUUGGUAAAUUAGCAGCACUCUUUUAGGUUAUAGCGACACUCUUUAAUUGUCACUAUAUACCUAGCGAUCCCACAUAUAGCAACACUUUUUAAAAGUGUCGGUAAUUUAGCCAGCAGCACUUUUUUUGACCUAUACCGACAUUUAAAAGUAUCGCUAUAAACCGUUUUUGUUGUAGUGUGAAAAUGAUAAAAGAGAUAAAUCUAACGGCAGAAAACUUGAUAGCAUCAAAUGCUUCGUGCUAUCGAUAGUAUCUCAGCUGGACUCUCUCUCACUCUCUCUCUCUCUCUCUCUCUCUCUCUAUAUAUAUAUAUAUAUAUAUAGAGUAGGGCUACUAUACUCUUAUGAGUAGUGGACCCUUAGUACUCAUAAGUUGUUUUCGAUGAUGGAGCUUCCGAAUCGACGAUCCACUCCGUUAAAUAUGAUCUAAGAGUUUUGAAACUUCUAGAAAUAAAUUUCGUAAUUUUUCGAAAAUCAUAAUAAAGUCCAUCAAGCGGCAUAAAAGAACGGUCAAAAUCGAACGACGUCCAAAAAUGGAUGAUCGGAUCCUUCAUUUAAGAUCAGAGUUUGAUUCUUUAUCUAGAUAGUGAAUAAAAUUUUCUAUCAAAACUUCAACUAUUCCGAUUCUUUUCCACCGUUAAACUAGCAAGUAUCCCCAUACGACCGUUAAAAUUAUUCAUUUUGUGAGCUUUUGAUCGUAAGUAAAUGAUGUCGAAAAAUUAUGAAUUGAUUUCUAGAAUGUUUAAAUGCUCUAAAUAACGUUUAACGUGUGGAUCGUCGAUUCGGAGCUCUAUCAUCGAAAACAACUUAUGAUACGAAGCGAUCGUAUUCAUAAGAGUAUAGUAGCCGGACUCUAUAUUAUAUAUAUAUAAUAUAUAAUAUAUAUAGAGAAGAGAGAGAGAGAGAGAAGAGAGAGAGUUCGGCUAUGUGCUUGUAAAAACACCAAGCACUUGUACUGUAAAUUUUUUACCGUAAAUCUACUCUUUUGAUCAUUUCUACUCGUUAGAUCAUACUAUUCACCAACGCGCUACUCAAAUCUCGGGUNNNNNNNNNNNNNNNNNNNNNNNNNNNNNNNNNNNNNNNNNNNNNNNNNNNNNNNNNNNNNNNNNNNNNNNNNNNNNNNNNNNNNNNNNNNNNNNNNNNNNNNNNNNNNNNNNNNNNNNNNNNNNNNNNNNNNNNNNACAAUUUGUUCUUUUGCAGAGUAUAGCCUGGUAAUUUUAAUGUUUAAAACUUUGGGAAACUAAUAAUCCGUUUACUACAGCUUUUUUAAACUUUAAACUAAAGAUUUAUGAAGUUCAUCAUAUCUAGUACAAGUUGCCAAGGCUAGCAGCUAAACCUCCGAGGUAGUACCUUUUGUUUACCCACCGUUGCCUCGGGCAAACGAUAGCUAUCAUAAGAUCGAGUUGAGAGAGAGAGAGAGAGAUAUAUAUAUAUAUAUAUAUAUAUAUAUAUCUCUCUCUCUCUCUCUCUCUCUCUCUCUCUCUCUCUCUCUCUCUCUCUCUCUCUCUCUCUCCAACUAAAAAACAUCUUUUAAGAUAAGUGAUAGAUCUAUUUCUAGUUAUUGAGGCUAAAAUUUAACUUCCUAGGCUAAUAGGUAAAACUUCUGCAGCAAGUUAAAACUGACAAAUAAAAUACAGGGAAACUACCUGAAAUAAUACUAAAGCUUUUUAUUGCUUUAAAUAAAAAAUCUUCAAAGUUUAUGAGAUUUAGUAUAAAUUGUCUCACCCAGCAGCUAAGCCUUGGGAGUAGUAACUUUUGUUAAAUACUCACGCUUCUUGGGUUAUGAGUAUAUAUAUAUAUGCGUAAAGAUAUCCAAAUCAAUUGAAUUUUUGUUAGAAAAUUCUUUAAACUAUUUAAAACAAGAUCUAUACUCUUGAUAUUGAUUACAAGACUCCUAUCAUCAUUUUUUAAAGAAUAUUCAUUUUCAGCCGUUUAUUUUUGUGUCCACUCGAUGGAUAAGAGAACAAUAUCGAAAAUAUAUGAAAUUUGAUUUCUAAAUACUUCAAGUGGUAUAGAUUAUGCUCAACAAUGCCGAUCGUCGAUUUGGAGGCUCCAUCAUCGAAAAUAAAUGGGUGGUAAUAGAGUCCGUUUGCUAUCGAUAGUAUUCUAGCACAACUAUAUAUAUAUAUAUUCAACGGCUGGUCAACGAGCUAUUUUGAGUUUGAAAGUAAUUUGCACUUCAAUUAAGAACUUAUCAGUUGAGCAAAGCCAUUUACGAGCUAAACCUAAUCUGACCAGCGUAGACAAUUGUAUUUAGUCAAAGUCGAUCAGUACGUAUUAAAUAUAUAUUUUCCUAGCCACUUUAAUUCAUGUUCCUUGGACUCUUUAAUUAGUUCAUGCAUAUUCUCCUUAGGGAGAUUAAACUAAAAGUAUCAAAAUUAAAUAACUCCACAUUAAAUUAAUUGAAUCCUUGAUAUAGAAGAGCCUCAUUUGUUAUAUUAAAAUCCCUAAAUUUAUUGUCAAAAGCAAUUUACCAAUACAAAUCCAUGUUUGACUAGAUUCUCACACCUUUAAGUGGACUUGCCUAUUAAUUGUGUACUUGAUACAAAAUAAUACAUUAGGGGGGAAAAAGAUGAUUCCCAUAAUAAUCAAUAACUAUAUAUGAUUGGUGACUAUAGAUUGCAAGCUCACCACACAUGGUGGUCCAAAUGCAAAUCACCUAUUUACUUUAUGAUCUUAGGUAGGGACACCCCAAAGUAUACUCUUAGAAGUGUUAAUCUAUUCAAAAUUUAGAUUAAUCUUACCAAUUUCAUGCAAUCAUAGAAAUAUAAACUAGAAGACGAAACUUUGGAGUUAGGGUUCAACUUUAGCAAAAAUAAAAUAGAAAAAAAUUCAAUCCCAACUUCGAUCUUUUAAUAACAAAACACUAAUCUCGUUACAAAAGAAGCUAUUUCAAAAAUCAGACUUUAGUUGCUCAGUGAGUUAUCAUAGUUACACGAUCUAUCUCCGAAUCCUAUAAAUCAAAUCGCGGUAUGCAUCACCUCGGGGUAUGCUUUGGAGCACAUCGAGCAUUGCAUGAACUUAAUUAAUUAGGUGCUUGAUCCUCCACAUUAGCAUUUUAAUAAAGGGGAAAACACAUGCGAGGGGCAAAGAUGCCACCAAAAGAGCGACGAGGGCAAAAUGGUAAUUUCACAACGCGUGGCGUGCUGUGACUGCAUGAUCAUAAAGGCUGGGGUCGGAAGAAGCGGAAGUGUAGCAGCAGCAAACCUCCCUCUCACUUAUCAGGGCGACUUUUCAAAAGUGUAUAUAUGUAUUAUUAUUAUUAUUAUUAUUAUUAUUAUUAUUAUAUAUCUACACAUACAUGGGAAAAAAGUUACAUUACAAAAAAAAAAAAGAAGAGAUUUUUUAAUUAAUUAAUAUUAUCCCUUUUGAGGUGGGUUUUUUGCAUGCGACCCCCUUUGAAAUAUCAAUAUUGCUCCCAUGAACUUCAAUUAAUUAACUCCAUGUGGGGUAGUUUGGAAAGUUUUAUAAGAAUCUGUUGUUAUAUUUUACUUUACUAUCCAAUAUAACAAUAUGUAUUCAUUUAACAAUAUGUCUUUAUAGUGAUAAUAAAAAGAGAGUCACUGAAAGAAUGACAAAGUGAAAUUGUGUUAAAGUAACAAAAAGACAAAUUGAUCGCUUUUUUCCAAACAUAUAUAAAUUGAAUUGCUAGCUAGUAUAGGUUAUUAGAAGCAAGGUCUUUUAGAAUUGUUCUCAAGCUUAACCUCAGCUUACUAAAUAAUUUUGAUAGAUUUAAUUGAUCUAAUAUAUUCCUAUCAAAAAAAAAUUUGGUAAUAUAUAUAGAUAUAGAACUAGACUAGAAUACUACCAAUAGCACCAAGCUAUCAGUGCUAUUAGAUUUUUGGUCAUUGGAUGAAUGAAUGUACGGUUAAAAUGAUGUGGGUCUUCUAGGGUUGAGUAAGUUGUUAGCUGAAUGUAUAAUUUAACUGAUGAAAAUAGUCAAAUGGUUAAAUCUAGCGGUGGAAAACUCGAUAGCACCAAGUGCUUGGUGCUAUCGAUAGUAUCCCAGCUGGACUCUCUCUCUCUCUCUCUCUCUCUCUCUCUCUCUCUCUCUCUCUCUCUCUCUCUCUCUCUAUAUAUAUAUAUAUAUAUAUAGAGAUCAUAUACAUAUAAAAGUACCAAGUCAUUGGUGCUUGUAAGUUUUUGGCCCUUCGAUUAAGGGAUGCGCGGUUAGGAUGAUAUGGGCCCCCUAGGGUUGAGUAGGUGGUUGGUUGAAUAGUAUAAUCUAACGGAUAAAAAUGAUCAAAGGUAUAGACCUAACGGUAAAAAAUUUAUAAGCACCAAGUGUUUGGUGCUUGUACAAGCACCAUAGCCGGACUCUAUAUAUAUAUAUAUAUAUAUAUAUAUAUAAUAAAUAAGAGAGGAAACUCACCAAGAGGCUUAAUUGAUUAAUGUGCUAUAAAUGAACAGAAGAUCAUUAGUACAAGAUUAGGCACGUGCGGGAGCAUGCACGUACAACAAGCGUGCCAAAGCAUGCAAGUACUCCAUUAAGGAAGGCAUAUGUUAUUUUCCACUUUUUGUGGUACCAAACUCACCUGACCAUAUCUCCUUUUUAAUGCGCAAAGGCGCCAUUGUCAAUAAAGCAAGAUUCUAAGCUAAUUAAACCCCCAUAACCUUCAACAACCUAAGAUCCUUAAAAAACAAAAAAGAAAGAAAAGAAAAGAAAAUUCUCGAACGCCACCUUAAAAUCCCCUUCAAAUAUUGUUACUUCUUAUUUAAAGCAUUUCUAUUUAUAUUUUGUUCCUAUACUUUGUCUAGUCAAAAGGUUUACAAUUGAAAAAUACUGUAUAAAUCUGAUAUCNAUAUAUAUAUAUCAAAUGCUUUGUGCUAUCGACAGUAUUCCAGUUGGACUCUCUCCCUCUCUCUUUCUCUCGAUCUCUCUGGACUCUUUCCGGCUGGAAUACUAUCAAUAGCACCAAACACUUAGUACUAUCGAGUUUUCCACAGUUAAAUUUAAUCAUUUGACUAUUUUCACCCGUUAGAAUUCUCAGAGAAUGAGACCUAUAUGUUUUCUGAUGGAACUACAUAAAAUAUAUUGUGACUAAUUCAUUGUGAUAUGCGGAAUCCAAUAAUAUGAUAUAUUCUUUUUUAUCGUAUUUUUUUCAUUGUAAGUAAUGCAAUUUCUUUAUAAUCGUAAACAAAAAUCUAACUCAUAAGAAAAAGAAAUUGUUUUAUUACCAGAGUUGGGCCCUUUUAAUUUACAGUAUAAGUCCUUGAGUCAACUAUAUCCAAAUAUAAACCUAAGGAUCAAAUAUAAGGCAUCACAAGAAAGGAAUGUUCCAUCAAUUCAAAGUCAUUAGAAGAUAAAAAAAAAAUAAAAAGUUGACUAAAUACUCCUCACUUGGAUCUAAACCCACUUGUUUUCUUUGCUUUCUCACCUGUUGAGAGAAGAGUUUCCCCUUCCAACUCCCCCUCUAACUAUAGCCACACAUUUUAAGAUCUAGUCCUUUCUAAAGUCAAGGAUUCAUUAAUGAAUCAUAAUGAUAAUGAUGUUACAUUAAAAAAAACUUAAACCUUAUUAUUAUAAGUUAUAAACUCAUAAAAUACUUCUCUAGAGUGUUAUAGGCAACUUUUGUAUAUUUGUAGGCCAUGAAAUUAUGUAUGGCCUCUAUAUUAUUAUCCUGACUUUUCACACUGUAAUCUCUGGUCCUUAUACUUUUUCAAUAAAAUAUUUUAGUCGCUGAGCUUUUACUUAUAUUAUAUUUUAGAAUAUAAACAUUAAAUUUUCUCACUUUUAUUGUGAAAUGAUCUUUUUAGCCUAUAUGGGAUUAUGAAUUAAAAUAAGUGAGGCAUUUUACUAAAUAAAUAAAAUAAUCAUUUUUACGAAAAAGUUGCAUUAUUUUUCUAUAUCAAAGCCUAAAAUAUACAACUAGAGUGUUUAAUUCUCUGUUUGAAAUUUGUGGAUCAAAUUUGUUGAACACAGCGAAAAAAUAUGGUAAAAAAAUGCUAUUUAUUUACAUAAGUAACAACAUGUCACAUCGAUUGUAGUAGCUUAGUUCAGCUAUAAUUUUUUCAAUUUUAUUAAGAAAAAGAAAAAAAAAUAUGCAUGUUUCUAUUUCUAGUCUAAAAAUGUUAGAUAAUUUUCAAUACUAAAUAAAUGUAUGCUGAGUUUCUAUUUCAGUCUCGAACUUCUUAUUUGAUUUUUAUUCUUUAUAUUUACUUAGCAAGAACGUUAGAGCGAAAAAUCAUAUUUUUUUAAGAAACAAAAUAAAUUAUAUCGUAACUAAAAUAUAUUAUUUUAUCAAAUACAAAUAUUCAAAUCUUUAAAAAUAUAAAAAAAAAUUAGACUCGUUACUUUCCAUCUUAAUAUAUAAGAUAUAAAAUACAAAUUGCAAUGUUGUUAAUAUAGUAAAGGUAGUAGAAUCCAAACACAAGUACACAAUCCGUAUCCUUUAGUAUGAGCCUACACAGGUUUUUCCUUUUCUUUUCUUUUUUUUUCUAUUUGAUGAUGUUAUACUUAAAAAAAAAAAUUAAUUUCAUAUAUAUUCCUACAAACAUAAUAAAUAAUAGAUAUAUAUAUUUAUAAUGUUCAAUUAAUUUUUAUAUAUUGUCUCUAUAAAAAUUCUGAUAUUUUCAAAUAUGUUCAUGUUGUUAGAAUCCGUUAGAUAAAUUUAAUUAAUCAUAACUUAAAUAUUUAAUACUAAUUAAUUUUUAAUAUUUUUAUUUUUUUAUAUUAUACUGUUGUGAUUUUUGAAAAAGAUAUAUUUGUGAUAGCAAAAUUGAAAAUAUAAAUAGUUCUCUAGCGGUUCUUUAAUAGUAACAAAUUAAAAGGAUAUAUUUAAAAAUAUCAGAACUUUUGUAAGAACAACGUAUAAAAGUUAAACUUUAUAGUGAAAUAUUUAUAAUUUACUAUAUUUAUAAAAACCUUUAUAAAAUUAAUUUAAAAUAAAAAAUAAAAAUAAAACUAAAAUCAGAAAAGGUAAGAUGUCAUCCCUGGUCCCCUCCUCCUACUUCCCACCCGCUUUCCAGAGAGAGAGAGAGAGAGAAAGUAGAGAGAGAAGGGAACAGACAGCAACAGCGAGAGAGAGAGAGAGGGAAGAAAGCAGAAGGCGGGCAGCGCUGAACAGCAGGCAGCGCCGCACCAGCGAAAGCGACGGCUGGCUGCUGCGCCUAAAAAUCUUAAAAUCUCCUCCUUUUUAUUCCCCUCGGAAGCACCCAAACACAAAGCCAAAAAUACAAAAACAAAGGAUAUAAAAAAGGAAAAAAAAAAAAGAAAAGAAGAAAACAACAGGAAAAAAAAAAAACACUCCCACUCAACACCACCACCACCCAACUCCACCUCCGCCCAACAACACUCACCCACUCACACCUACAACUCUCUUUUAGAGAGAGAGAGAGAUGAGAGAGAAAAAGAUAUCUACUACUAUUUGAGAGUGCAGGAUUGUGUCGAAAACUUAUCCUGCCGUGUUUUUCGCUGUUAGAUCUACUCUUUUGAUCAUUUUUUUCUGUUAAAUCAUACUAUUCAAUCAAUCACCCACUCAAUCCAAAAGGGCCCACAUCAUUCUAACCGUAUAUCUCUUAAUCUAAUAGCCAAAAACUUGGUAGCAUCAAUUACUUAGUGCUAUUAAUAGUAUAUUAGCCUAGUUUUAUAUAUAUAUAUAUAGCGAGAAAUAAUAAUAUAAAAAAUUAUUUUUUAAAAAAGUAAAAUAUUUUAACUAUUUUUUAUUAUGCUUAUUAAUUUUUUAAAAUUUUAUCGAAAAAAUUCCUUACUAAUUUACAGUAUAGAGAAUUUUGAGCUGUGACGUUGGUGUGGAAACUGUAUCGUACCGAUAUUUUAUUGGCAUGAUAUGGUGCGGUAAAUAUGGUUGAUAUCUAUGGACUAAAAUUGGACUGUUAUUAGUGUUGCCACUAUUAAAUUACUAUUAUUAUUAGUGUUAGACUAAAAUUAGACAUAAAUUUUUAUAAAUAAAAUUCUGUUUUUUUUAAAAUAUUUACACUCGAUAAUUAGAUCCUCUAAAAUUUAUUAAAUAAUUUGAAUUUUCUUUUCAAAUGAAUUGGACAAUUGUUUUAUUUUUAGUUUAUGUUUUCUUGUAAAUAAUUUUUAAAAUUUUAAUACUUUUAUAUUUUUUUAAAAUUCUCAAACCAGUAACUUGGAGAAUCGUCAUGCUAAACUCUUCAAAAUACUUUACUUUAUUUCUUAUUUUUUAUGUUAUUACUUAAGGUAUUUAUUUAUUUUUUUUACCUACACUAUGCACCUUUAUUUCAUGUGCACCAUACAUUUAUCUUACUAAAUAAUAGUAAAAUAAUUUGAAAAAUGUAAAAAGAGCUCAAUAUCAAACUCCAAAAAGUUUGAAGAUCAAAAACAUAAUAAUAAUAAUAAUCUAAAUAAAAGUUGAGUAAAUAGUAAUGCAAAAAAAAGAAAAAAAGAAAAAAAAAUUUUUUUAAUAUUAUAAUAAUAUGGGUAAAUUUCAAAAAGCAUUCCUAUUAAUUUCGCACUUUCUCACUUUAAUACUUUAUGAUUUAAAGUAUACCAAUUUAAUAUCAUGUAAUUUUUUUUUUUUUUCGUCGGCCUAUUUAUUAAUUUUUCGUUAAAUCAUAUGCAAAAAAUUUCAGAUAUUUUAUAUAUAGUUUAUAUCGAAUAUUAAUUUUAGUACUCUUUAGUUUUAAUUUUGUCACUGAUUUAAUAAAAAAAUUAAUAAAAAAAUAAUGAAAAAAAAAUACUGUAUACGAAAGUGAUAUUUUUUAAACCACAGGAAUAAAGUGGAAACCGCCCGAUGGUGUUUGAAGAUUUUUUAAUAAUAAUCAUAAUUAAGAGAGAGAAAGAGAAAAAUAAAAGGAGAGGAGAGAGAAUAGAGAGGAGUAAGGAAUCGAAGGGUAGAGAGAGAGAGAGAGAGAGAGAGAGGCGGCGAAGAGUUAAUAAUCACCAUCAUCACACGACACCAUUUUAAUUCCUCUCUCUCUCUCUCUCUACACCUCUUUAUGAGCCUCAACAACACCUCCUCCUCCUCCUACUCGUACGCAGCAGCAGCAUCAUCAUCAUACAAGGAGGGGGGAGGGGAAAAGGGCGCUGCUUUUUAAUCAAACUCCUCACCUCGCCCUGUGUUGUUUGUGUGCAAAGGUGAGAGCUUUGGCCAAUUGGGUUCCUCGUUUCAACGGUGUAAUCCUCGGAAAGUGGAUGCUUUAAUUUGAGGUGGUUUUGAGGUGGGGAAAGAGAUAAACGAGAUGAAGUUUAUGAAGCUGGGCUCGAAGCCUGAUGCGUUCCAAUCCGAUGGGAGCGACGUUAGGUGAGAAAAAGAUCCAAUUUUUAUCUCUUCUCUUCUCUUUUUUUUUUUUAUCCGUGUUUGUACAAUGCUUGUUAUUGCAUUACAUAUGUUCAUUUUUUUUUAGUUGGGUUUUGCCUAAAAAAAAAAGAUCUUUAUUUGAGUGCAUUUUUUGUGUUCGUUUUUUCCUGAAUUAUUUUUGUGGUUUUUCUUUUCUUUUUUUUUUUUUUUUUUUUGGCACAUUGUGAUCUUUUUUAAUGUCAUUAAUUGUUUGACUCUGUUCUCCCUGUUUUAUUAUUAUUAUUAUUAUUAUUAUUUAUUAUUAUUAUUAUUUAUUGUCUCUUUUCUCCUCUGUUUUUUUUUUUCUUUUCUAAAAAAACUUAGUGAAACAUCAGAACGAACAAAGGGGUGAGGUGAGUUUUGGUCAUUUUUUUAGUGGAUGGGCUUGGAAUUAAUAUGAGGGGUAGUAUUGAGAGAGAGUUAAAUGUUGAUUGUUUAGGAGAUGGUUUCAUAUUAUGGCAAAUUUUAUAUUUCUUUAUAUUUAUAUUUUUUACAUUUUUGUUGAUGUAAUUUGAAAAAAAAAAAGGGAAAAAAAGUAGCUCCUUUCAUUGUGGGUUUUGUUGAGAUACUUUUGGAGACUUUGAUCUUCUUGAGUUGCAGAUCUUAUUGAGUAUUUUUCUUCUUAUGUCAUUCUCUCUUGUGUGUGUGUCUCUCUCUCCCCUAAUGCUCUCUAAAAAAAAAAUAAAAGAAAAUGUCAUUUUGGCUACUUGCUCCUGCUUUUGGGAUUUCAUAAAAAUGGUUCCUUUUCAUGUGAUCAUGUGUGAUUAAAAAAAAAGAAGAAUAAAAAAUAAAAAAGAAGUAUCAAAUACCAACUUAUGACAGUUGUGAGUUAUUAACUCUAGUCACUUAAACCUUUGUCCUUUUUCUACCAUCUUUCUCACCAUUUUUUUUUUUAUUUUGUUUGAUUGCUUUUCUUGGUUGAGUUGUAAUAUCUCUUUGUUUCUGUGGUAUCAUGUAUUUAUCUAUAAUAUAUUUUCUUUUUGUCAAAAAAAAAAAACUUAAUUUGUUGUUACACUGCAUACUUUUCAAUCCUUGCAAACAUAUUUCCUUUUUAGUUUGUUAAAUUUCCAGGCUUUUUAUUCUUCUUAACUAGAUUCUCCUACUAGCUAAGUUGUAUAAAAGAAGUGCUUAGUCCUGGGUAACUAGUUCAUGAUAUAUUAAAUCCAAAAGUUUAUUAUUUCCGCGUAAUGCUUUACUAUAUAAAGAUAAGGACUGUAAAGCAAUUUUAACUUCACAUUAGAGUUGCUUACAAUUCAUCAUUGUUGAGUUGUUACAAAGAGAAGUUAAAAAUAAAAAAUUAUGUACUGUUUUUUUUAAAAAAAAAAAAACUUUUUUGUGUCCCAUGAUUCCUGUUUCAUUCUGGUUGUGUGUGAACAUUUUUACUUUGUUGCUGAUUUCAUGUCUGAAUCUUUAAAAUUACAUUGCCAUUCUUUUGUUAGUUGAUACAAUGCUUAUCUAUUCAUGCAGGUAUGUUGUUUCCGACCUAGCGACAGACGUUGUCGUGCACGUCGGCGAAGUCAAAUUUUAUUUACACAAGGUAAAUUUUCCUUUCCGUUGCGCUCGCUAAACUUAAUCUUGUCACAUCAGCAAUAUUUAUUGUAGUAUCAUCACUGAUUCUUUAAAACUUGCAAUGUUUUUUUUAUGCAGUUUCCGCUUUUGUCGAAGAGUAGCCGCCUCCAAAGGCUGAUUCUCAAGUCCAGUGAGGACGGCACUGAUGAGGUCUUCAUGCACGAGUUCCCGGGCGGCCCGAAAACUUUUGAAAUCUGUGCAAAGUUCUGCUACGGGAUGAUCGUGACCCUCAACGCGUACAAUGUGGUCGCCGCCAGAUGCGCUGCGGAGUUCCUCGAAAUGACCGAAGAUGUCGAAAAGGGGAAUUUGAUUUUCAAGAUCGAAGUUUUCUUAAAUUCUAGCCUCUUUCGCAGCUGGAAAGAUUCUAUAAUUGUUCUGCAGACUACGAAAGCUUUACUGCCCUGGUCGGAGGAAUUAAAGGUGGUCGGUAGAUGCAUCGAUUCGAUCGCUUCGAAAACGUCGGUGGAUCCUUCUAACGUCAGCUGGUCUUACACCUACACCAAGAAAUUGAAUGAAAUAGUCGAAGCCCAGCAAAGAACCGUCCCCAAGGAUUGGUGGAUCGAAGAUUUGUGCGAGUUGGACGUCGAUCUUUAUAAGCGAGUGAUGGUCGCCGUUAAGUCGAAAGGGAGAAUGUCUUCUGAUUUGAUAGUGGAGGCCCUUAAGGCUUACGCGGUUCGAUGGUUACCCGACUCUUACGACGCGCUACUCGCCGACGACUACACAAAGCGGUACAAGACAUUGGUCGAGACCAUAAUUUGGUUAUUGCCGUCCGACAAGGGUUCCGGCUGUUCGUGUAGAUUUCUCUUGAAGCUAUUGAAAGUCGUUAUCUUGGUCGGAGCGGGUGAUCUGCUGAAGGAAGAGCUCAUGAAUCGGAUUAGCGCGCAGUUGCACAAAGCUUCGGUGAAGGAUUUGUUAAUUCCCAUGAAAUCGCCCGGCGAUGAUACCAUCUACGACGUGCAACUCGUUCAAAGCCUUGUUAGUAGAUUUGUAAUGAGAAGUGGGCUAAAUCAGGACACGGAUUUUGUCGAGAAGAGCGAGAGCGAGAUGAUUGAAUUCAACUUAGAGCACGAGUCUUUGCUGGCGUUGGGGAAAUUGGUUGACGGUUAUUUAUCUGAGAUAGCCUCCGAUCCAAAUCUUUCGAUUUCUAGCUUCGUUGAAUUGGCGAAGACGGUGCCUGAAACUGCUAGACCAAUUCAUGAUGGCCUAUACACAGCUAUUGAUAUCUAUUUGAAGGUAUGCUCGCGAAACUUAAACAUAUUGAUUGCAUUUAUUUAUUUAUUUUGUAUAAGAAAAAUGGUCGGUAAUUUCUAUCAACACCUUCUACUCUUGAAACUGCCGAUGCUCUUUUCCAAUUGUAUUUGUGUUUUAGCUUUGCAUCAUUAAGUGAAUUUUUAUCGGUGAUGUCCAAUUGAGUUGUUAUGCAAUAGAUGUACAGUGCAAAUUAUAGUUGGAUGUAAACAAAAUGACUUCUCAAUGUCUCUUGUAAGUGAUUUAGGAGAAAAUGAAAAGGGAAUCAUCAUCUUUUUAUCGGCCUAUUUUCUUUCACAAAGGGUCAAUUUCUUGCUAUUUGAGAUAAUGCUUUAUUUUGAUAUCUCGCAUAGUUUGUUUAAUUAUGUGUAGAUCUUACUUGUUUCUUUUUCUCGCUUGUCAUCAGGAGCAUCCGAGCCUGACGAAAGCUGACAAGAAGCGGAUUUGCAGUCUAAUGGAUGUCAAGAAGCUCUCGGCAGAAGCGUCGCUCCACGCGGCACAGAACGAGUGCUUACCGCUCCGAGUUGUGGUGCAGGUGCUCUUCUUCGAGCAGUUGAGAGCCGCGACCAAUGCCCUAGCUGCUCCGACCACCGAACCAUCACACAACAGCUCAAGAUCCACAGCCGAAGUUGGAGCAGAAUGGGACCAACGGCAAGUCCCCGAUAACUCGAAUUCUUUAAAGAUCCAACCCGGGAGCUCGAAAAUCGAGGAUGAGGGGCGAAAAAUUACCGACCAACAAAAGAAGAACCGAAAUAGUAUCAAGGAGCGGGGCGGCGGGCUUUUGCUGCCGUCCAGGUCGAGGAGAAUAUUCGACAAGAUAUGGCUCGGGAAAGGGCAGGGGGAGAACAGUAAGAGUUCGGAGACGUCCGGGAGUUCGCAAAGCCCGCCGCCUUCUGCAAAGCCGCGAGAUGGAAAAUCUUCGGGCGCUUCGUCGAGGAAUCGGAGGCACUCGGUUUCGUAGAUCUUUCUCUUGUUCUUUUGUACAGCAAAAGUUAGAAGUGCAUUGCUCACUCCCUCUCUCUUUCUCUCUCUCUCUCUCUCUCUCUCUCUCUCUCUGUGAUGAGAAGGGAAUGGAGGGGUGUUUAAGCAGUUGAAAUCUGCUGCUUUUGUAUGAUCAUGAUCUUUGUAACUUUAGUCUGAUGUAAGCUUAAAGAAUUUGCUGUGUUAGGUUGUUCUGGAGCUCUAUCUAGCAUAGGCAUUUCACUGAGGUUUCCACCUUUUGUUGUUGAAAGAUAAAAUUGAGAUCAAAUGCAUAGAGCAUUUGGUUGGUUUGUCUACAUUUGAAUUAACAGCUUAAUCUUAUUCUCAUCUUUGGGCCUGUUUGUAAUGGAGUUUGUUGCAGUUAUAUUCCCUAUGGCUUCGAAAUCUGAUUCGGGUUUGUUUGGCCAUGCUUCUGCUUUGCAUAAAAUCCCGCGGUUGUGUUUAUUAUAUGGAAGCAAUUUUCACUUUCACUGCAUCAGCUAAGCUGAUGCUUCCCCAGAAUUUUACUCCUACACAGAAAGUGAGAUUCCUCUGUUUUUGGUUUUGGAACUUGAAUAGCAGUAGUACAUCAGAUGCUGGAGAAUAUUUUCUCGUGUUUAGGAUCAGUUUGGUUUCUUCUUGGAUAAUAGUAGAAAAUUAUUUUUUGAAGAAAAAAGGUUUUUGUGAAAUUCUUCUUUUCUACUUUCUGUUGUUUGGUUCGACGGAAAAAAGAAAAUAAUUUUUCUCCUAAUGAAAAACAGUUUUCAUUUCUAUUUCGCUUAUUUGAUUAGUUUUGGUAUAAAAACAUUUCUACGAAAGGAGGGUGUGGUCACUAGCCUUUUAAAAUUUAAUAUAAUUAACACAAACUUUUUACAAUAUAAAUAAUAAAAAAAAUAAAUUUUAAUUAUAUUUUGGUAUAGAUAAAGUGGUUUGAUAAAAAAGAUGGAGAUCAUAGAGAUAUGGAAAUAAUUCUACCUUGUAUAUAUAUAGAAUUAGGCUACUAUAUUAUUAAUAAUACUAAGCGCUUGGUGCUAUUUGAUUUUCGACCUUUGGAUAAAAGGAUGUGCGGUUAGAAUGAUAGUGACUAUCGAUUAGGAUGAUAACAGUCCUCUAGAAUUAAGCUGGUGAGUGUUUGAAUAGUAUUGUUUGAAUAGUAUGAGCAAACAAGUGAAAAUAAUCAAAUGGGUAAAUUUAAUAGUGAAAAACUCGAUAGCACCAAGCGUCCCUAAAAUACAGCAAUUUAAUAUUUCUCUAACCAUAUUUCUUUUAACUAAUUAUUAACUAACCAUAAUUGAGGGUGAUAACACAUCAGUAUCUUUAGUCUAUGGUAUAUUUUGGUAGUUUACUCCAACAUUACUAGUAAGCUUCCAAGCCAUGCACUGCCCCUCUCAAUUAAUUAGUUUGGGUAAUAAUUGGCUACAACAUAUACGUUUUUUGAAGGGAUACACACACAAUACUCCCUCAAAGGAGAAUAAACAUUGAAAGAUAAAAAAGCCUAGUACCUGCAGUUGCAAUCAAUGUAAAAGAAUAAAACAAAUCACUUCUCACAAAUUUCAUUGCAAAUCAGCUAUUUUAUCACAUUUUCACACAAGCAUAAGGUCAGAUCAAUAAGAAACAACCCAAGCACACGAAAAACCCAAUUUACCGGCAUAUAGAAAAGCAUAAGACAUUACUCAAUUUAGAAGCAGCAUUCGGACAUCUUAGAUAAUAAUAACAAUCUGGAAAAACCAGGAAGUGCGAGCCCUUCAAUACAAAGGUAGUAAAAAGUGCGCUCAAUCGUCAUAUAUUCUUAUAUUCAUUUAGGUAGAAUCACACUAAAAUUGGUUCUUUUGCGACAAUCCCCCAAAAAAGAGUGACUUAUAGUUCGAUCAAUAACCGCCCCUCAGAGCGAGGACAAGAUGGAGGACGGAGCCGCCCUCGAUGUUGUAGUCCUUGGCGGUCUUGUCAUCUGCGAGCUGCUUACCAGCAUAGAUAAGCCUGUGCAGAGAGGAAUACGGCCCAGAUAAUCAGUCCAACAGAGCAGAAACCUUGCUAAGAGAUAUGGGGAUAAAAAGAACAUAAGCAUAAGCAAGUCAUAGAAGCAUCAGAAGAAAAGGAAGAUCCCGGUUACUUAGGCAUGUGAAGAUGAUAUGGCGUAAUCAUCGUGCAAUGCUUAACAAUACGAGAAAGUGAAUUGAAAUUUGUUUGGGCUCGGUUGCUCCAUAACAGAAGUCACAACCCUCAAUGGGACGAGAUGUUUUCAGUUUUAUCGUUUCAAGAGGAAGGGCCUCCUUCAAGCUAGUUAACCUAAAUUUUCUAAACUAAGUUCGUCAAAAUUGAGAUCCAACCUAAGAUUUGUGUAAGGUCUCCACAAAUGUAUUGCGAAAUUGAAUAAUAAAAUUGUAAGAUUCCACAUAUUACAAAUAUUACAGAAAAAUAAACAAAUAUUAAAUCAUUCUUGAAUAUUAAAGAAAUGGCAAGUUUAUAUUAUAUCUAAUGAUCAUAAUUUUUUUAUCAAAAUAACUAUUAUAUAAAAGUAGGUAUGAUAUCCUUUUGACUAUAUACUCCAUCAAUUCAGUCAAUUUCACAUACAAUAGUCGAGAGGGUUCCAUAUAACCUGCGUCUUCAGAAAACACCAGCUUUUGUAAUUAUCCAGAACAUCAUAAAUAAUGCUUAAUACAAAAGAUAUACUCUAAAUAGUUAACCUAUUAACCUAAAGACCGAUCAACUGCCCUCAGGUCCCAAACACAAGCAAGUUUCAUAGGCCACUCAACUGAGCAGAGGACUGGGCGGGCUGGAUGAAGGAAUGAAGGGCAACUUGUUGUAGCUGGUCUUGUUGUGCCAAAACCAGAUCCACAAUGGUCAGCCAAUAUACGCAAGAAGCAAAUAAUUGUUUAUUAAAAUAACAUUAUAUCAAUGCAUUAGACAAAAUAAGCAUCUGAUAACAAGGCAGAGUAAUCUACUCCCCGAACUACUGCCAGGCCCCUCCAAAAGAGGGGGGGAAGUAUAAAAGCAUUUAAAGUAAGCUUCAAAUAGUCAAAAAACUAUGCUGCAUACCUUUGCUGCACAGGAGGAAUUCCUUCUUUCUCUUCAACUCGCUCCUUGAUCCUCUCAAUUGUAUCAGUGGGUUCAAUGUCGAUUUCGAUUUCUUUCCCAGUGAGCGUCUUCACCUUGAUCAUGGUCCCACCCCUGAGCCUCAAAACCAAGUGAAGGGUCGAUUCCUUCUGAAUGUUGUAGUCUGCUAAGGUGCGGCCAUCUUCCAACUGUUUCCCAGCAAAUAUAAGUCUUUGCUGGUCUGGGGGUAUGCCCUCCUUAUCCUGCAGUUUAUCUUAUAAUAUAUGAAUAGUUGUACUGUAAUUUCUUCUGUAUUUUAUGCUACAAUCAAAUCUACUAAUUAUUUGUAUGAAAAAAUUUGCACAGGGUACAUUAGGCAUUGUUUAUAUUUUCCAUUCAUCUUUCCUAAGUUCUAUGCAGUUGAAGGCACCUACGACGGACCUUGUGUUGGUGCUAUUUGUUACUGUUGUUUAAUUGGCAGUACACAGUUUCUUAAAAGCAAAAAGAUUAUGCCUUCCUUGGUAUUCAUGCUGUCUUGGGUUUCCAUAAAACAAAAAUUCUACAUGGUUGGGUGUGUCGGCAGAUCGCCUUGCCUACUCUAUGUCAUUGUUGGCUAGCAUUGCUACACAAACCGGCCGGAUGCUAAAAUGCAUCUCCAAAACAAGUAACAACAAAGGGAGAAAAAAGUUAUAGCUAAGUAUUUGUUCUUUGUUACCAAACAAAUCCCAUUGAUAUAUGGACUGCAAGCGCUCCACCAUCUGCCCGCACGCUCUAUUGCAUACAAUUUUUGUUUAGUAAAAAAAAAAAAAAAAAAAAAAAAAAAAAAAAAAAAAAAAAAAAAACGCAAUAACAACAAGCUGAUCGAGGCUUUAUUUUACAAACUAAUACUUUGACUUUUCAUUUGUCAAGGAAAAAAAAAAAAACUUGUCAAAAAGGAGUUUGCAAAAAACCCACACUAAUGCAAAUAAAAAGGAUACCUAAAUGUGCUUAACCACAAAGAAGAUGGGGAGAGGGGGGAAAAAAAAAAUGAAGGUGUGCUAGCUGUUGAAGUUGCUACAUUUUAAAUAUCAUCAUGAUCUAAGAAAUUUUUCUCUUUUCUCUUCAAAUGUUGUGCAUCGUACUAUGCCCUCCCUUCUUCUCUCCUCAUUUUUUCGGGUGCAGGUGCUUUGUUUUACUCUUGUUUAAGUGUCAAUUUCAUGCAGUGUUAAGGAUCUAGAUUUUAAACAUCUUGCACAACUUUCCUUCAUGUAUAAUUGCCAGAAAGAACGCUGUGAAGAAACUAACCCCUCACUUGGACUAGUCUAAUGGCCAGAUCGCCAGAGCCUCAUUAAGGUCCGAUUGCAAGGACCCCUAUUGCCUAGACACUUCUCUAUUUGGACCCUGCACUGCCCACCUAGUCAGUUAUUGCAGUAACAUAUAUUUUAUCUUAUAUACACCCUACAGAUUAGCUUUUAGUAAAUCAAAAGACAAAAAUUUCAAAAGAAAGGGUUUUUUGCAUAGAUAUCCCUCCGUUGCGUAAAUACCCCUACAAAGUUAGUAUCUACUUGCGAGCCGUCCCCGUACUUUAUUGGCAUCAUGUCCUGUUAGGGGUUUAUAUGCGAAAAGACGUUUUUGCAUAUAUAUGCUUACAAGGGUUCACAGACGCAUAACCAAGGUUCUUAGGGGCAUUUACUCUAAACUAACUUUCCAGGGGUAGUUGAGGAUUUUGCAUACAUACAAGGGAUUUACAUGCAAAAGACCCACAAGAAAUUAUAUAGCACUUACUUAGCAUAAAGCUCCCUUGUCCUUAAUUUUCUUAACUAGAUUGAGAAUAUACUUACCUAAGGUUGUGAAGAGGACAUAUUAUUCUUGAGGGGCCAACAUUUGGAUCAAAUGACCCUUUGGGAAGCCUCAAGACUCUUUUUUUCUUCUUAUUUCUUAUGAAAGUCUUCAAUCGACAACAAGCCCUUCACUUCCAUUUCCACAGAUUAUGAUCCUAUUGAGGGAAUACCAUAGUUCCAUAGAUGCAUGAGUGCAUAUGCUUUAUUAGUUAUAACACACUUAAAGCAAGUUGUUGAUACUUGCUCCUCCUUCGGAAGGUUUUUAAACAAGUGAGCGCAUUCUCUACAACCCAGUGCGCAGAAUUUUCCUGUACACCGGGUGAUCUCACCGUCCAUCCGAAAAGCAUGAUGAUCCCUCUACUAUCGGCAAUGAUCCAUUGUUGGCCAAUCCAGCAGUUUAGAUGCUACUCUCCUUCAGAUGGACGAUAAAAUCAACUGGUGCCCAAGAAAAUACUGCGCAGCGGGCUGUAGAGAGUGUGCCCCCUUUUAGACACUAUAUAAAAGUCAACUAGCUAAGAUAUUAGGUGAUUAUCAAAACCAUCGAGGCGGUGUCUAGGCAUUUAGGGGCCUCUCAAUCGGCACCUAAAUCUAUCCAUCAGCCUUGAUAAUCAUGUUACCCAAGCAACUAACCAAAUGAUGCCUUACCAAUUCGAUGAAAUGUUUCUCCCAUCCAUCAAUUGAAUAGCUUAUCCUAGAACUCAAAGAAUCCCACUUUCAGUAAUUGAAGAACUCAACAAGUAAAUUCAUUCCGAAGCCAGUCAACUGCCAAGUCAACCAAGUUCUCAGAAGCCUAAUAUUGAUACCAAAGGCUAAUUUCACUCAUCAACUCCAGUAUCUUCUUAUUUCUAGCUUGUAAUUUACUGGAAAUCUUUAAUAUCCUCUCCAAAGCACAAAUAUAUGCAUAGCUUGUCCAGUCACUCUCUACUACCUAAAUAAACCAUCAUAACUUCAACAAAUAAUCACAUGAUAGCUCCAAAAAUUUGUAAAAAAACCUAUAUUUAUGAAGGGAUCAAACACUAUACAGUUGGCAAAGAUAGUUCUAAUUCUAGCCCUAGAAUCUUAAGUUUUACAAUUCCACAAUCCACAAGCACAAACAAAACAAUUAUACCUACGUACUUUUACCAAUCCUAAUUAACAAUCAAAACAUUCCACAACCAAGUUCAUCACUCCAUACAAGAAUUAUGUCGAACACCUCGCGUGCGUACACAAGAAUCAAAAACGGCGAUCGCUUUACGGAUCAAAAUCUCAACCAAACACGAAACCCCAGAAACCCCAGAAACCCUAGAAAACGAGUUAGGUCCAAAAAAACCUCCAAAAACUCGGAAAAAAUCGGAAAAAAUUCGAAAAAAAGGGGGAAAAAGAGGACCUGGAUCUUUGAUUUGACAUUAUCGAUGGUGUCGCUGCUCUCUACCUCGAGAGUGAUCGUCUUCCCCGUCAAUGUUUUCACGAAUAUCUGCAUCUUUCUCUUCUCUUCUCUUCUUCUUAUGCUUGGAUUUUUUUUUUCUGUUUUUUUUCUGUCGAUCUUCUCUACACGGACGUGUCAGGAGAAAGCCGUUUUAUGGAGAGUUUAUUUGUUACGAUAGUUACAUAGAAAAUUGAGGCUCAUUGAGGAGUCCCCGAUUCGCUUUUAUGCGUUAAUUUUAUCUCUACACAAUUAUUAUUAUUAUAAUCCUCGCAUCUGAAGUUUAAAAAAAUUAUUUUCAGAAUUUAGUAUAUUAAAAAUAAGAUUAAUUGGAGAUGAUUUUCUGUAAACAUAUCGAAUAGCAGAUAUCUAUCCCUUCAUUUGGUUCGGGUAUAAGCAAGAACUAGUUAUACCGGAAAUAGGUACAAGUAUAGGUUUUCGUAGGCAUAAGAAUAUUUUUUAUUUGGAUGAAAAUGUAAGUAUAAGCUGGAACUAGAAAAAUUAUGUUUGGAUGAAAAUGUGAGUAUAAGGGGGAAUAGUUGGUAGUUAUAAAUAGAAAAUAAUGAUAUUAUCCUGAUAAUUGAGUUUAAAUUUUUAAACUUAUAAUUUUAAAUUAAAAAUUUUAACUUUUAAAUUUUAAAAUUUAAAAUUAAAAUUUAAAGUUUUAAUUUUCAAAAUUUUAAUUUUAAAUAUCAAAUUAUAAAUUUAAAACCAAACUUAAAUUUGAAAGAUAUAAAAUAUCAAAUUUAAAAUUUAAAAACUAAAAAUAUCAUAUUAAAAUUUAAAAUUUAAAAAUUUAAAAUUUUAAACUUGUAAAUUUAUAAUUUAAAAUUAUAAAUUUAAAUUUAAAAUUCAUAAUUAUUAAAUUUUUUAAACUUUAAAUUUAAAAUAAAAUCAUAUCUCUCUCUCUCUUCUUGUAGGGGGGGGGGGGGGGGGGUUUGGAACAAAUUGUUCCACCCCUAGGUGGGAACACUUAUUCCCCAUCUAUAUCCGGUAUAAACUGGGUAGGUGGGAACAAGUGUUUCCACCCACCCAAAAAUAUGUUUGGGUACAAGAGGGUGGAUAACCCCCUUAUCGCCCUCUUGUACCCAAUCCAAACACUAGCAUAGAGUUUAUCCUUUUAUAUUUAUUCCUGCAAAAGUUAUAACGUUUUCAAAUAUACUUCUAUUAUUACGAUCCGUUAUAAAAAUAUAGUUCUCCAUAACUUUUCAAAACCUAUAUUGUACACCCUCAAUAUCUCACGCUGUUGCAUUUAGUCCCCCUACGUCCAUUUUUUAUAAUUUUUAUCAAAAAUAUUCUUCAAAAUGAUAAAAAUAUAUUUUAAAAAUUAUUUUUUUAUAGAAAAAUAUGAAUAAUUUAGUCAUUUACCCUCUCCAUUAACGUCGUAUCCCCUUUAAAAUAUUUUUGAAAUUUUAAGGGGCAAAAUGUAGAUUUUUUAAAACUUAGGAAAAAAAUAAAAAAGAAAUAUUUACAGGAAUUUUUUUUAUAAUUUAGUCUUAAUAAAAUAAUAAAAUAUGUUAGGUGCACCGCCUUAUGAUUAAUUUAUAAGAGAAUUUUUUGGAAUUUAACUUUUUAUUAUUUGUACUUUAUUAUUCCGUAGUUCGCAAAAAAAAAGUAUUAAUUUACUGUCCAGUUGAACAAAAGUUAUUUAUUAGAACAUAAAAAUAAAAGUGUAAAUUACUUAAAUAUAAUUUUUAAAAUCACAGGUGGCAAGUAAAAAUGCACAAGUCCGAAGAGGGCAAAUUAAAGUUUACUCAAAAAUUAAAGUCGAGGGGUUAGUUGCCAAUAUAGUAAAGCUGAGGGGGUUUCGAUAUAUUUUUACCAAAAAGAAGGGAAAACUUUAAAAAGCCUCAUACCUUUUCAUUUUAGUAUCCAUGGUUCAAAGUGUAUUAAGUUAGUACCAUACGGUUUCGCACUUUCUCACUUUAGUAUCCUGUGUUUUAAAGUGUAUCAAGUAAGUACUUUGUCAUUUUAUUUUUUUAUCAAAUUGUUAUCCUGUGGCUUUAUUUUUGUAUCAAGUUAGUACCAUGUGGUUUUCAAAUUAUAGAGUACUAAAGUGAGAAAGUAUGAAACCAUAGGGUACUAAAGUGAGAAAGUACGAAACUACAGGGUACUAACUUGGUACACUUUAAACCACAGAGUACUAAAGUAAAAAAGUGCAAAAUCACAGAGUACUAAUUUGAUACACUUUAAACCACAUGAUACUAAAGUGAGAAAAAGUGAAACCACAAGGGGGUAUUUAAAGUUUUCCCCCGAAAAGAAUAGAGAUAUGACCCUCGAAACCGUGAUAUAUCACCGUUACACCGAAGACCCACUUGGCUUGUGGGGCCGCGUUAUUCCAAUCCGCCACCCUCUCGUCCGCGGAUUUUGAGCUCUACCGUGUGGGGCCCACUUAUUACACUUCAAUUAUUAAAUAAAAAAAGAAUAAUUAUUUAUAUACACCCCAAAACUUUAAAAACAUCUGGUUUAUAUAUAUAUAUUUUUUUUAAAUAUACUCCUAGUGUGUUUUUUUGUUAUUCAAAAAUGCACCCGUAGUUACCAUUCGUUAAAUUAUUUCGAGUUAGAUAUAAGUGAAAUGUCUACUAAAGUUAAAAAAAGAAUUAAAGUACCUUUUUUGUCCUUAAUUUAAGAGCAAAUAAAAAAAUUAGUGGUAAUAGAAAGAUAUAUUUGAAAAGAUUAAAAAAAAUUUCCUUAAUUUAAGGGUAAAUAAGAAAAAUUGAUGAUGGUAGAAUGGUAAAUUUAAAAAGACAAAAUAGUAAUUUUAAGGAGAUAACGAUUGUUGAUAACUUUCGGAGGGUCGGUAACUUUUUAGGGAUAUAAAAAUAAUUGCUCCUUAAAAAAAACGAGCCUUAUGGAUAAGACUUUUGAAUUCAAGAUCAAAGAUGCUGAGCUUGAUUUAGAUAGUUUAAAAUAUUUUCUAUCAAAAUUUGAAUAAAUUUAGAUUCUUUUACACUGUUAAACUAUAAACUCGUUAUAUUAGCCGUUAAAAAUUGAUAAUUUUUAAAAUAAUUUGAUCAUAAAAUAAGUUGAAAAAAUAUAAAAAUUGGUUCCUAAAAACUUCAAAUAUUAUACAUUAAUUUUAACGAUGUGAAUCGUUGAUUUGAACACUCUAAAAUAAAAAACGAGAUUAUAGUACCAAAGCCCCGAUAUAAAUAUAAUAGAUAUUACAUAAGCUAACUCUUAUUAUUAUUAUUAUUAUUAUUAUUAUUAUUUAAGAAUUGACUACUCUUUGGAUUUAUUCCUCAAAUCUCUCCUGGGUCAAAUUACAGCAUCCAAAAAUCCACCUUCUCUAAAGUAUGAGCAGGGGACACUAUUUAUGGGAAGAAAAAUAGUCUCAAAACUCACUAUUUUAUUAGUAGAAUAGAUUCUUUACUUUAAUAAACUUAUAACUGUGAAUAUUAUAUGAAAGUAUAUUAACUAAAUAUAUAAAGAUAAACGACGUAUUUAAAUUUUGAAGUCAAAGUGUCGCCGGCCGACUCAAAUCAAAAAAUUUGAAGAGGUAGUAAAAUAAAAAAUAGUAUAUAGUUCAGAUAAAUUUUGUAAAGUUUUACUUAACAAUUCAUGUGCAAAAGCAAAAAUCAAAAAGGCUUAUAGAGAAAAAACUAAAAUAAUGUUUUAUUUAUUUACUUUUUCCUUCCAUUAGAUAAGUUGAUGAUGAGAAACAUGUAGAAUAUUUUAUCUAGUUAUAUCCACAUUUCUCUUUGAAAAUAUUAACAAAAAAUAGAAAAGCAGUUACAUCCAUUUAGAUUUAUAGAUUAGGAUUUGCGCGAAUCAAAAUAGGCCGAUGAAUAUCGAAUAUAUACUUAAAACAGUUAUUUUAUUGGAGAAGCAAAAGUCAAGCGCAUGAAAAAACUAUUCACAAGUCAAAUCACCAAAAGGGAAUAUUUAAGAGGACAAGAGGUGAACAUUUAGAACCACAAAAAAAAAAAAAAGAAAAAAAAGAAAAAGAAAAAAAAAAGUAAGUGCGAAUAUUCACAAUGCAUUGUGAGGUGGAGGAAAGCAUGAGGGAAAAGGUGUAGUGAGAGAUGUGAUGCGGAGGAUUCUUAUGCAGACAUGAGGGGGUAAAAAAAGAGGAAAAAAAAAAAAAAAAAACCAACCCACAGUCAAAGGAUAAUACCAUUCGUAUUUAUUUAGCAAUUAAGUUCAAAAAUAUUCACCAAUUGCGUUUAGCGUAAUCUACUAAGAAUUUAAUAGUUAGUAUCUAAGGUCUCAAAUUCGAAGCCUGAUUGCUUCAUAUUUUUAGUGAGUUUGUUGAUUUAGACUUGAAUAAAUUGCAAUUGUCAGUUGCAUCCGCACAGAAUUGAAUAGACUGUUGCAAUUCAAAUUGCAUGCAUUUUAAAGUCAAUACAUUUACAAUCACAUCGGGUUUGGAUCUGUAUAACUGUUCUUUUAAUGCGAGGGGGCAAUCGUACCUAGCGCAUAGUUGGCUAAAGAUUUGAUGAUUGAUAUCCGAGGUUUCAAAUUUGAAGUCGAGUACGGAUCUAUAGCAAGGUUUAAAUUGCCGUGGCACGGGGGCGUGCCGCUACGUCCUUGGCACGGUACGGCACGGGCACGCUUGCGUGCCAACACGUGGCACGCUUGCGUGCCGACAGAUACGCACGACCUCCUACUGGCACGCUUUGACACGAAUUUAUUUAAAUUUUUUUGGUUCCAGUAAGCUUUUAUAAUGUUAUUUUGAAAGAUUUAGGCAAGUUAUUAUUAAUUUUUGCUAUGUAUAGCUUAUUAUACUCAUCAAUUAACAUGCAUGUAAGCAUUUUGUAUAUAAAGUACAACUAUACCUGAUGUAGAAUAUAAAUUAAAAUUCUUUUGUUUUUAUUUUUUUUUAUUUGAAAAGUACAACUAUACUUGCUGUAACAAUUGAAAAUUCUUUUGUUUUUAAUUUUUUUGUAAUUUAAAAAAUUAUAACAGAUAAAAUGAUAGAAAAUUUUAUUUUUUCUAAAAACGUUUCAAAAUCUAUAUAUUGAUUCGAUUAGGAAGUAUAUAAUAACUAGAACAACGAGAAUAGGUAUUGCAAUUACAUCCAUAUUUUUUUAUUCUUUUAAAAAUAUCUAAUCAAAAUUUGUUUAGGAGAUCAAUUUUUGUUCCCCUGAUUCAUCGAAAACUUCGCCGGUGCGACAAAUUUUGACAAAUAAUUUGCGAAGAAAAAUGAUGUCUGUGGUGGAAGCGGAGGGGCUCGGGCUGACAGGCCGAGCCGUAGCCCCACACUGACAUCCGAGGGGGGUGCGGGGGGCCCCCCGCGGUAUGGAUCGGAUUUAUCAACUAAAAAAUUUGCUUUUAUAUUUGUUAAAAGAAGUUAAAAUAUAAUGUUUAAUUAACAAAAGAAAAAGAAAAAGUCAAAAGAAAAAGCCAAAAUGCAAAAAAAAAAAGGCAUCAUCCAAAAAGAAAAAAAAAAAAAGUUGACAAAAAAACAACACAAUGUCAAAAAAAUAUAAAAAAGUGAACAAAAGGCAAUAUAGAUGGCGGCGCGAAGGCUCUGAUCCACGAGAAAAAAAAAAAGAGACAAAACCAAAAAAAAAAAGCCAAAAAACUAAAAAAAAAAAAAAAAGCCGGCACGGGCACAGUGCCGCGCACAUGGCCGCGUGCCGCUUUGUCGUCGAGCGGCACGCGGCUUGGUGCCGCGGCACCCGGGGGGUCGAGACCCCUCUUGUACCGUGCCCCUUCUGGGGCACGUACGGCACGCCCCGUGCCGUACGGCACGGGCCGCACCUUCAACCAUGAUCUAUAGGUUACUUGUACAUCUGUUUGAACCUGUAUAAUUGUUUUUUUUAUGUAUUUAGGAGUAGAAUUAUACCUAGUGUCAUUAAUUAUAUUCGAUGUUCAAGUUCGAAGCCCAAUUGCUUCACUUUUAUAGCUGAGUUCAGUAAUCUCGAGUUGUAUAUAUAAGAUUUUUAAAACCAACUUUCACAUAAUUUAUACCUAAUAUAUCAUUGAUCCCAAUUCGUGCACUUAAAGCCACUAGAUUCUAGCAAGCUACUCAACCAUGGCAGGUUCGAAACAUGCAAAGAUGUAUUUGAAACUCAUCAAGAACUAAUUAAGUGCAACCAAGCAGAUGUUUUUAGGCAAUAUUUGUCAAAUUAAGGAAUUAAUGAUAUACAUACACAUACGAUUCAUAUGAGUUGGUGAUUUUUCAUGCAUCUCUAGUUGUGUUUUAUGAAUUCUUUGAGCAGCUCCAUUGCCUUUUGAUCAUUAUAUCUUUCUACUCGGUUAUAGAAGGUCAAUGAUGAACUGUUUUUUCUUGGAAUUAGGCUGGUUGAAUUUAUAUUUUGAAAAAAUAGACUUGCCAAAAUUUACUGGCACACACAUAUAUAUAAUAUAAUAUAUAUAUAUAUAUAUAUUAUAUAAAAUAUAAUAUAUAAUAUAUAUAUUAUAUAAUAUAUAGAGUCCGGCUACUAUACAUCGGUAGCACGGGGCCUCCCGUGCUACCAAGUUGUUUUCGAUGAUGCGGCUUCCAAAUCAACGAUCGCUCCGUUAGACUUGAUCUAUACUAUCAAAGUAUUUGAAAACUAAAUUUCAUAAUUUUUCGAUAUCAUUUACCUAUCAAACAAAUAGUCUAAAAUUGAACGGCUAAAAUAAAAAUCUCAUAAAAAUGAUGAUAAAAGAUUUAAAUUUAAGAUCAGAUAUACUGAUCUUACUCUAAAUAGUGAAAAAAUUUUCUAUAAAAUUUCAUCGAUUUGAAUUGUUUUACACGUAUAAUCUAAAUAUAAAUGACGCCACAUCGGCCAUUAAAAUGGUCAAUUUGAGAUCUUUUAAUUUCAUAGUUCAAAUGAUGUCGAAAAAUUAUAAAAUUUAGUUUCCUAAUACUUUUAAUAGUGUAGAUCAGUCUAACGAGCCGAUCGUCGGAUUUGGAAGCCGCAUCAUCGAAAACAACUUGGUAGCACGGGACGUCCCGUUGCUACCGAUAGAUAUAGCCAGCUGGACUCUAUAUAUAUAUAUAUAUAAUAUAUAUAUAUAUAUAUAGAGUUUUGCUAGAAUACUAUCGGUAGUAAACGGCUCGAUUUACUACCGAUUGUUUUCGAUUAUAGAGCUUCCAAUUGAUGAUCGGCACCGUUUAAAUAUGAUCUAAACUAUUUUANNNNNNNNNNNNNNNNNNNNNNNNNNNNNNNNNNNUAAACUAUCUGGAAAUCAAAUUUCACACAUUUUCGAUAUUGUUCUCUUGUCCAUCAAGUGAACAGAAAAAUGAAUGACUGAAAAUGAAUAUCCUUCAAAAAAUGAUGAUACAAUUUUUAUAUUUGAGAUCUAGAGUCUAGAUCUUAUUUUAAAUAGUUUAAAGAAUGUUUUAAUAAAAAUUUAGUUGAUUUGAACUCUUCUAUACCGUUAAACGAGCAAACGCACCAUAUCGGUCAUUAAAAUUAUAGAUUUUGUGACCCUUUGAUCGUUCAAUUAGUGAUGCCAAAAAAUCAUGAAAUUUGAUUUUUAGAUAAUUUAAAUGGUCUAGAUCAUAUUCAACGAUGCCGAUCGUCGAUUUGGAAGCUCUAUCAUAAAAAACAAAUCGGUAGUAAAUCGAGCAGUUUACUACCGAUAGUAGACCAGUCAAACUCUAUAUAUAUAUAUAUAUGUAUAGGGUAGGGCUACUGUGCUAUUAGGAGCACAGCAACUCUUGUGCUUCUAACUUUCUAACCACCCAUCAACAAGUUUGAUGGGUGGUUAGAAUGAGCGAGGGAUGAGAUAUUGGAGAGAAAUUUAAGAAGAAGAGAAAUUGAGACACUCAAUUUUUUCUCAAUAUCUCAUCCCUCUCUCAUUCUAACCACCCAUCAAACUUGAUAGGUGGUUAAAAAGUUAGGAGCACAAGGACUGCUGUGCUACUAAUUGCACAGUAGCCUUGCUCUCUCUCUCCCUCUCUCUCUCUCUCUCUAUAUAUAUAUAUAGUAUGUUUCUUGUGCUUUCGAAAGUACGGAGGCCUCCGUGCUUGUAAGUUGUUUUCGAUUAUAGGAUAUUCAAUUCGAUGAUCGGCUACGUUAAGUAUAUUCUUCCAUAUUGGAACUAUCUAGAUGGUCCGAUGAUAGUUGGAGUGGUUGUGAGCAAUAGGCACAGUGUGAUUCUUCACGCUUUUUGAGGUAGAAGAUUGCACAUGCCGCCGGAGGCGUGCAGCGUGGUGGUGUGUUUGCUGAUGGGAAGUGAGAUGGUUCGACGGUGGUCGGAGUGGUUGUCGGCAACAAAGGCAUAGUAGUUCUUCACCGGUAGGGGUGUAAUCUGGGUCAUGCCGGGCUAGCGCGGUCCAAAUUUUUCGGGCCAAUUCGGGCCACACAAAGUGGCCCAGCCCGACCUGGACUCAAAUCCCGCCUUGGCCAUCUUUAUUUGGAGUGUGGCCGAGGGCGACCCACUUUCCGAAGCAGGUCGGGCCGUGCUGGGCUAAAGGCUGGUCCAUUUUACUAUAAAUUUUAUUUUUAAAUAUUUUAAUUUUUGUAAAAAUUUUUCCAAUUGGUUUUAUAAAAUAUAUAGUUUUUUUAAAUAAAUAAGUUUUGAUGACUUUUAAAAAAAUAUUUAAAAUUAGAAUAGAUUAAAAUAAUUUUUGAAGAAUAAAUUUAAAAAAAUAAAAAAUCUAUUAAGGAAAAAAAAAAAAANGGCAUGGCAUGGACCGGCUUCGAUGACGGCCAAGCCGGACCCUGCCGGGGCAUGAGCCCAUAAGCUACGGCAGUUGCGGGCCAGCUGGGUACGAUCCAGACAGCCGACAGUCGACCCAGUCCAUACUGGCCCACGGGCCGUCUGUCCCAUUUGACAUCUCUAAUCACAAGCGAUGGAGUUUGUAAGUUUUAGUUGCCCUUGACUAAAUUAUGCUUACUCUCAAUGUAAGAAGAAUAAAAUAGUAGAACAUUAGAAUGGACUUUUUGGGUAUUUAGCCCUCUCAUAAAAAUUUUUUCACAAAUAAUCUCACAAAAUUUAUAAUUGCAAAACUGGCUCCAUCCCCGCGACGCAAGUGCCACAUCAGCGGCUGGCUAGCAUAAGUUGAAUAUGAUUAACCAUUCACCGUGUUUAGACACGGUGAAUUAAGCUAAAAUGCACAAGGACUGUUUGAGUUCUUUUGCACUGCGGGUUUGCUACUGUUCAGCCCGUCCAAAUACGGUGAAUGGUUCAUCUUGUUUAAACACGGUGAAUCAUUUAUCGUGUUCAACUUAAUCCUUCAUAGUCGCUGAUGUGGCGCUUACAUGGCACUUGUGUGGCAUGAAUAUGACUAGUUUUAUAAUUAUAAAUUUCGUUGGACUAUUUAUGAAAAAUAAAUUUAAGAGGAGACUAAAUGCAAAAACCGAAUACGCAGUUAGAAUAAUAACGGCUUAUUGAAGUUGAGUGGAUAGUUUGUUGAAUAGUAUAAUUUAAUGAGUGAAAAUAAUUACAGGAAUAGAUUUAAAUAUAGAAAAUUUGAUAGUAGUAAAUACUUCAUGAUAGCAUAGCAGUCGGACUAAUAUUUUAAGAUCUCAAAGCACUAUCAACGGUGUGCUCAAAGGGCUUUCUUAUAAAAUGAUCCUCCAGAAAUUCAAAAUUGGCAAAAUGACCUGCCAAAAUUUUAUUUGUAAAACUAACCCUCCUUUCGCCACGUGAGCGUCACGUUAGAAUUUCUUAUAAAGACGGUGAAUCGUUUACCGUCUUUGUAAUAUUUGUUAUAAAAGGGGUAAAUGGUUCACUGCCUUCAGAAGGCGGUGAACCAUUCAUCGCCUUUAGUGCAAAAUCCUUCUUUCCGCCCUUUUCCCCUUUCCGCCCUUUCAAGUCUGCCGUUUCUGUGCCCUCGAGAAGACGGGAAACGAUUCACUGUCUUAUCAAUGACACCAUAUUCUGGACUUGAAAAGAUUUGCGUAUCAGAAUAGGGAUUUAUACUAAAAACGGUGAAUGAUUUACCGCUUUAUGAAGGCGGUGAACCAUUCACCGCCUUCACAACAAAUAUAACAAAGACGAUGAACGAUUCACCUGCUUCAUUCAUUGAAGCUAUGAAUUAGGCUACAGGGGUGAGGUAGUCAGGGCCUCACCCACCUGCUUCAUUCAUUGAAGAUAUGAAUUAGGCUACAGGGGUGAGGCAGUUAGGGCCUCGAAAGAAGAAAAAUUAUGAAAAAAAAAAAACAAAGACGAUGAACGAUUCACCGUUUUUUUUAGGAAUCUCUGACGUGGCGCCCAUGUGACGAAAGAAGGAUUAGUUUUAUAAAUAAAAUUUUAAUAGAAUUAUUUUGCCAAAAUUAAAUUUUUGAAGAGUCAUUUUAUAAAAAAAAAAGCCGGUGUGCCGUGUUAAGUGGCUGUAUAUGACGGCAUACUUGGUUGGGUAGGGAGAGCAGAGUAGACCUCUCUCUCUCGCUCUCUCUCUCUCUCGAAGAAAGAGAAAUUCUUCAAAAAAAGAAAAAAAGGAGGAAAAAAAAGAGAAAGAAAUGGUGGGGGCGAAUGUGAAGGCGGAGACGCUGAGUCUGAUGGAGAGGAGGGCGGCGAUGGAGGCCGACAUGAACGCCAUCAUCGACGCCCUCUCCCGCCCCGGCGGCCCCGGCAUCUCCGGGAACCUUCUAGACUCCCAGGCAUAUAUAUAUAUUAUCUCCAUUAACCCAAAACCCCAAAAAAAUUUUUUAAAAAAAAACUCCUUUUUUCUUCUCAUUUACUUACGAUUUUGUUUUUGUUUUUGUUUUUGUUUUUGUUUUUUUUUCUUUUAUUAGGGAUUUCCGAGGCCCGAUAUCGACAUCCCUACCGUCCGGGCGCAGCGCCACCGCCUCGCUGGUUCGCCGUUCAAAACCCUAAUCCAAAACCCUAAUUUGAGUUUUUUUUCCCCCUUAUUUUUUUGGGUUAUUAAUUGUUUGCUUACUUUCUCAUGGAAAAAGAGUGUAGUUAAAUUGGCCGAUCUAAGAAAAACACAUUUGAAUGCUUACACUAGGUUGUCUUUAUCCAGCCGCUUUGACGCAAUUUAUGUAGCACUAGUGUAGUGACCCGCGCGUUACGACGGGCAGAUACUGUUCAAGAAUAAAAUAUCAGAUUAGUACAAAAAUAGUAAAUAUAGUCUACAUUAUAGACAAAUACUUUUAAAAAAUAAAACUAUAAUAAAAAAGAAUUUAAUUGUUUCAACUAAACUAUUCAACAUUGUUCAAGAGAAGUCGCAUAUCAUGCAAAUAGAUGAUUAAAAUUAUUUCCAUAACAUAAUAAUCAAAUGAGGAAAAAAAAAAGAAGAGAAAAACUGGGUAUAUGUAAGAUUUAGCCAUGGAGAUUAAUAUAUAGGUAUAGAUAUAGAUUGGAGCAGUUUCGAGUCUUUUCAGAAUAAGUUAUCCAGUGAUAACUUGUUCGGUACAAGAAUUUUAUAUUGUAAUUGGAAGUGUAAGUGAUUUCAAUUUGUGGGGCUCCUCGAAAAUGGAAAAAAAGACUUUUAGGGCUGAACAUGGUGUGGUACACCGUGUUGACAUUUGAUCGCGCUCGCUCAUUUACCAAAUUCUACAAGUUUCUUGAGCAAAUCAAAGAGAUAUGCCGAAUAGUAUGUUCGCGCACCCAAACAAGGGCUCUGGGGUAUCUAAAACGUCGAACUGCUUGCGUUUGUAUAAUGCGGCUCACACUGGGAGUUUUUUGGUCUAACUCGGGGAAUUAAACUAUAAAUUGAAGCACUCUCGGUGAGUGGUGAUCCUUGCUAUGGGCCUAUCAAGAUCAAUAGUUUACUCGUUUUUCGCUUUUAAAGCAACGAUAAUUUUAGUUCCGUGUGUGUUUCAUGUAUGCUGCAAUGGUUUUUGGGAGUUUAUGAGCUAACAUUUUUUUUCUUUCUUUUUUUUUUUGGUUGGGUGGGGGUGGGGGGGGUAUCUUUUUGUUGCAGAGUUGCGCAACGAUCACAAGGAUAUCACUGACAAAAUUGAUAAAAAUUUGCAAGUUUUGCACUCGUUAAGAUUAGGUAAAAACGAACCAGCGAUUCCUGGAGAUGCAGGUACGCUAAUCAAAAAUUGCAGAACACUUCAUUUUUUAUAUAUGCUUUACUUCAUUUAGUAUGCUUAGUUGAUACCGUUGGUAGUAAUUGCUCGUAAUGAUCUGAUCAAAUGCUGUUUUUAUUGUAAAUAUGCUCAAUUUCGUCAAAUUUCCUUAACCUGAAUAUAUCCAUUCGUCUUUCGGCAUCUACGUAGGGCUACGAAAAUAUCUUAUGAUGACCCACCCAAUUUAUGCAUCUACGAUUCUACGUCUUUGUUCUUUAAUCAUGAUGGCAAUCAAGCCUUGCAUUGUUUUUACCUGCGAGUAGUAUUUGACGUGUAACGAGAUUCUUCAAAUAAUAACUGUUAUACAUUUUACGAGCUAAUAAGUAGUAGAUAAGGCAAUUCGUGUCCACAGGGUCAGGCCAGCCCUAUCACCAAGGCCCUGCAAUUGAAAAAGCCCUCUUUGGUCUGGUGUCAGCAAUUCAGUGGUUUCUGCUGUGUAGUCGGUUCGGUUCGGUUCGGUUUGGUUCGGUUCGUGGUUUGCCCAUAUUUUGUACAACCAAAUCGAUCAAGCUUCUUAACCGAACGAAAACCGAACUGAGCUAUUCGGUUUGGUUCGGUUCCAAUAUUCGGUUUUAUCUUUCAUAAAGAGAGAAAAGAAUAUUGUCAAGUUUUCAACACUAUAUGGAUCAAUUUACAGACGUUACGAAAUAAAAAAAAGUAUAAAAAAGAUAAAAAAUAGAUACACCAACACUGACCAAGGUUUUAAGUGCCUGUCGGCACGGGCCGUAUUCGCCGUGUCAUACCGUGCCAACAAGAUACCGGCACGAUACAGACCCUGUACCGAUGGCACAGCUCAAAACCCUUUAUUCUUUAAAUUAGUAAGUAAUUUUAUCAAUAAAGUUCAAAAGAUGUGAUAAAAAGACAUAAUAAAUAAUUAGAAUAUUUUGUUGCUAAAGAAAAUAAAUAUUUCAUGCUAUUAUGUGUCGGCACACAAAAAUUUUUUUGAUUGGCAGGCAUCGGCACGGCUCGGUACGCACCGUGUCAUACCGUGCCGGCAAAUUUCCGGCACGACCUUGUGCCACAGCACUUAAAUCAUUGGUGCAAAUGAAGUAGGAUUUUUAAAUCUUCUAUUGCAAUACUCGUAUCAUACUGGCAAGUUUCCGGCACGACCUUGUGCCACGGCACUUAAAUUAUUGGCACUGACAUCAAAUUAUUAUUUGAUACUUACCUAAAUAUAUAUAUACAUAUUUAUAUAUAACUAUUCGGUUUUCGGUUUGGUUUUGUUUGUUUAGAAGUCUAAGCUGAACUAAUACUGAAAACCGAAUUCACAAAAAUCACAACCGGACCGAACCGAAAACCAAUUUACCUGAGCGAAAUAGGCUUUUUGGGUUUGGUUCGGUUUGGUUUUCAGUUUGGACCCAAACUGUGGACACCUCUAGAUGACCCCAAUCAAUAAUGUCCUGUAAUUUAGAUUCAAUCAUCUCCUUAUUGUGUCAAAGUAGGUGUAAAAAUUUUAGCAAAAUUUUUAUUUUCCAACUACUGAUCUGAAAAAUUGGGGAAAAAGAAGAGGAUAAGUAUGAGGUGAGGCUAACAAAUUAAAACCAAAUUUGCGUUUUUCUGCAGGUGCAUCAGCUUCUCAUGGCGUUUCGUCUCAAUAUUCUCCCGUGGAGGAGGAUCCAAUUGUCAGGAUACCUUUCGCUAUAAUUGAUGAAAUUGUCGAUGAUUCACCGGCAGCAGAAGACGGUUUACAGCUCGGAGAUGAGAUUGUAAAGUUUGGGAGCGUGGAAAUUGGCGAUGGACUGCAAGCGAAGCUUGUUUCAGAAGCACAGUCCAACCAGGGCCGUACCGUGCCUCUAAUCAUCAUACGGCAUGGUUCUGUUAUGAAUCUGAAUGUGAUUCCCAGACAAUGGCGCGGCCGUGGACUUUUGGGGUAUGCUUUGAUUUCUUCUUUUUGUUCAUCUCCCCCAACUUACAUUUUUAUUUUUUUUUAAAAAACUAGAGAACUUUAGACAGUUUUAGUAAUGAUUAAGAUAAUUGAUCGAUAUAAAGAUUUCAUAAUGUGACACCUGUUUGUUGCUGCAGUAUCUCUGUUCAGAAACUACGCAUAUUUAUAAUUAAUAAAAACUAAACCUCUUUGCACAUGAAUCGAAGUCGGACUUAGCGCUUCUAUGUUCCAAUUUUGGAAUUUAUGAGAGGAUCAUACAUUUGCAGGCAUACUAUAUCUUCAUAAUCUUGCAUUGUUUAUGUGCAUGAAAUUUCUGUUGUGGUUGAACCUGAUCACAUGAAGCUUGAAUUUGGCAUACUAACACUUUCUCUUUUUAACUUCGUGCAGAUGCCAUUUUCGGAUCUUAUGACAAGACAAUUAGUGAUAACACAAUGAUGAGGAAGUUCUUAAAGUUAAUAGCACUUCCGAAAGUCGAAUUUAUGGGCAAUGCAUGUGGAUGCGCAUGCUUGCUUGUUGCCUUCUCAUAGCGUCGUUUUGUUUUGCAAAUUUUCUCAGCUUGUAAUAGUGAUCAACUGAACUUUUUUCUGCCGCACAUCUGCUUUGUUUUACUCGGCAUCGAAACAUUCCUCUCAGUAAGUUGUUAUAAAUGGAGUACUUCGUUUUCACCAAGGUGUUCUUGUGCUGUGAAAGAUGGGUAUCCAAAGUGUCUUAUGGUCAAAUAUGUGUUUAAUGAGGUUUUGUUUUUGAGUUGCCAUUUUAUUUGAAUCAACUACAGUGAAUCGCAUAACGGAAAAUGCGCGAAUAAACAUUUCCUUGGCAAUAAUAGAUAAGCAAUUUGGGGUGUUUUAUUUCUGUGGAGGGAAAGCAAAAUUGAUUAGAUUUACAUACUUCUGCUGAUUUUACGCAGAACAAUUGUGCGAUUAAUAUUUUUCUGUUUUUCAUGCAAAUUUUGUAAUCUUUUCGAUCGUGCGUCGACCCGAUGAAUCAAUCAAUGAGAAGCAACAAUGAAGCAUCAAUCGAGACGGCGGAGAAGGUAUUCGAUUUCGACGAUCUUGGUUAGAGGAAUAACCCAAUCUCCGUAGAGUCGAUAAACGACCGACGGAUCGACCUUAUAAGCGGCUCGGCUGCUAUUGCUGUCGCCGGUAUCAGCUGGUCGGUCCAGCGUUACAUCUUGUCCGAACACCGCCGCUUUUUCCUCCACUCUUUUCUUCACAAUUUCUUCUUGGCUUUCAGAUGUUACCAGUUUCAUCAAAGCAUCCCUGUCCUGUAAAAGAAAAGGAAUAAAGAAAUUCAUUAUAUCCAGCUAAAUGGAUUAUUAAGAAGAGAAGUAACAAAGUUUUCGACGACCUUCGCGCGAAUAGCAGGAAUGUAAUCCUGAGGGGAAUCCCUGAACUUCACUUCUGCUACAAACCUCCCAUAGUGGAUCCUCCUCGAAAGAGCCUAAAAUAUAUAUAUAUAUAUAUUUAAAAAUGAUAAACUACGCCGAAAAAAGAAGUUUAGAAUUGUUUUUCAAUUAGCUACGAUGCGAAUGUGAUUACCUGCAAACACGCGAGAUCAGAUGCGGCUGUCGACGCAAAGUUUCCGUCGACGCCUUCGACAGUGAACUGCGGAAGCAGCUCUUUGAAGUACACACUCCAAAUGGUAUCACUUACAUUGACAGAUGCAGCUGCUGGGUAUAAAACCUGGCAAUUGGAAGAGCUUUCAUUCAUUCAAGCAGUUUUGCCACCAAAGUGUGUAAAGAAAUUGUAGAACACAAAAUGUAGUCUCCAAACUCUCGACGAAUCAUAAUUCGGUCCCUAAUCUUUCGCUUAAACAUUGUCCAUAAUCUAACACCCAUUACAGCUUAAAAACCAUGCAUUAAAGAAGCCUAGGAAUUGCAAGAUAUUACAUAAGUUUAUGAACCAUUCUGUUUAGUGUUUGAAGCGCUUUGUUUGCAGUACUUAUCUUAGAAGGGAUUCUCUCCAAAGCAUUAAUCCGUUGUUUCAAGGUACAUUUGCUUUUGCGUGAAUCAAAAGAUCAUCAUAUUUUGCUUUCAAACUUUUUCGUGUCAAUCAGAAGCAGGGCCAAACAAGUUUUUCUUUGUAUGAAAUGUAUUUUGAAACCGUAAGACGGGAGUGGGAAAAAGAAGAUUACCUUCGAAAAGUUGUAUGGAGGGACUACUGGCCAUGUCAAAUCUUCAGGGAAGAAGGGAACCUCUUCUGGAUUUUGAUAACUUCCAAACUGCACAAUGUCUAUAACAACUCUUAAAAGGGGAUAUAUUUAUUUAUUUAUAUGAAAGAUAAAAAAAUCAUAAUGCAUGAAAUUUUUGCUUGAACAUCUCAAAUUGUGGCCUUAAACACAAAAAUUAUUUUGUUUCUUUUCUAUUGAUCCUCCAUUUAUUAAAGAAGUAGAGUUCUUUGAACGAGAUUAAGUGCUUGUUUGGUCUUUCUGUAGUAUAGUGUUGUUCAAUAAAGUAUUAUUUGAGUAGUGUUAUUAUAAGAAGCACUAUAUUAAAAGAUUUUUUUUUAUCAGCAAAAUAAAGAAAAAAAGAAAACCAACUUUUAGUUUUAAGACCCAAAAUCUCGUAUCUACUAUACUACAGUAAAAGCUUUGAAAGUUUUCACUAGAUCGGAAGCCCCCCCACAUCACGCGGGAGCUCUCUAAUCCAACGACGUAUGCCGAUUCACCGAGUCUAUUCAGCUCAACAACUCGGCAGAAGUGCUAUGGUUCUCUGCCAAAUACCAUUAUAUAUAUUGUUGGGAUCGACAACAGAAACAAAAGCGGAGCCAGACAGGUCCUAAACGCAAUCUGCGUCAUAUAUCAUAUAUAUAUAUAUAUAUAUAUAUAUAUAUAUAUAUAUAUAAUUUGUUUUAUUUUUAAAAAAAGAGAGAAAAGGUUUUCUUGGCUUGGACCCUCUCACUGUCCCUCACAAAGAGCUCAACCAAAGAGCAACUAUUGCCAAACCAUUUGUCCACCUUCAAACAAGAGGAGGGGUUGUACAAUGGAGAAUUGUAUGGGUAUUUAGCCCUCUCAAUGAGGCUAAACACAAUGGUAUCCUCCUCUCUAGUGAGAAAAUCGCGCACGGAUUCCAAAGUUAUCCCCCUUGAGAGAGAACAUUGAAGCAAAAGAGCAUUGAAGCAGAAGAGUAGAUGAAUAAGAAUAGCAAUAGUAGAAGAAGAAGAAGCAGCAGCAGCAGCCAUUGCAGAGAAGAAGAAGAAGAAGAAGAAGAAGAAGAAGAAGUCGGUGGGGAGGGAGAAGUCGUUGCCGGCUUUAUAUUUCAAGUGUUUGGUUAAAAGGUUUGAAAAAGUCAGCUUUCUGUUAAUAAAGGGAAUGGAUUGCCGGCUGAUUGUCUUUUCUCAACGAGAGCUGAUCAUAUUGUCAGAAUAUUAUCUACUGUCACCGUUGCAAAAAUAUUCAAAAUAUAAUUAGAUGCAAGAUAUCAACUUUGACAAUAAUAAAUAUUACUUUAAUUCUAUCAAUUUUCUUCUCUCUCUCUCUAUAUAUAUUUUGAUGUUGUCCCGCCGAGAAAUUAAGAGCAAUUUUAGAAUGGCGCAAAAAUUAAGAUCAUUUUUUAAUUCUAAAGGUUGAAACAUAUUUAGAGGUCAAUAAUAAAUUACUUUAAUAAAAAGCACCAGAUACGAUCAAAGUAUUAAGAUAGUAUUGAGACUGUAUAUACAUUUCAUUCUGAAAAGUGAUAUUAACGCAUUUAUCAGAUUCAUUAAAUUUUUGUCAAAUUAUUUGACAUUGGAGUAUCAUCAACACCGUUGUUAAAGGCUACAAAGGAGGGAAUGAGCACAUGCGUAAAAAGGGCUCAAUUUAGCUUGAGUUUUUUGGUGGUCAAAGUCAACCUGAUGGGAAAAGUCAACUUCAUGUGAACAGGUUGAAUUUAGGUAGUUGAAAAAGGAAAAAAAAAGUAAAAAAAAAAAAACCAAUAAGAGGCCACAUUUCAUUGACCAAAUAUGUCAAAUCCUUGUAAAUCUUUGGUUAGAAUUAAAUAUUCUGAAAAAAAAAUAAUUUUCAAUAUAUGGCUCCAUAUGAUACUCAUAAAUCUUUGGUUACAAUUAAAUAUUCUGGAUUUUUUUUUUUUUCAAUAUAUGGCUCUAUACGAUACUAAAAAAUAAUUGCACAUGUUGGUAAAAGAGCACGAACUAAUCUAAAAAGCUUAAGUUACUAGCAGCUGGUACCAUUUACAUGAUAUACUAGUGUAAUGUUCUGCGUUUCGCGGCAGGAGCUAAUGACUCCAGAAGCUAAUUUGAGUUUAUCAUUGAGUCCGAGUGCAAUGACAGCAUAGAAACAUAAUGAUACUUUUUUUUAUCAGGUCAAGUUAGUAGUUCUCGACGUGUAUAAUGUUGAUUCUUGAAGUUUAAGUUUAUCUUCGAAUUCAAAUACAUCAUGGCUAUAGAAAAAAUGGCAUCCAAUUUUCAUACGGAUUGUGUCGGUCCAAAAUUUUUUAAGAUGAGAUUACUUUACAAUUCACUGCACAAAUUAAAUUGACUACACUUCUAAUUAAUUUUCUUAAGUAUAUAAACUGCCUCUUCACCUCCUACAGGGAGAAAAAAGUGAAAAAAAAACUUUGAGACCUCAAUUGUGCCAAAAGAUUAAAAGAAUUUAAAACCCAAGAGUGAUAACAACUAACAAUUUGUAAAAAAAUCAAAGGAAAUAAAGGAAGGCAAUAAAGUUCAAACAAAAUAAGCCAACUUAAUUUACUCUAGGAUACAUAAUAAUACUAUUUCCUUUCCGCUUUACUUUGUCAAGAGGUCUUCCAACUAAAAGCAAAAAAGGCCAAUAAACCCAAAUCAAAUUUCAAUAUCUAAGAAGAAAGCCUACAUCAAAAUUGAUUUACAAAGAUAUAUAAAGAAACCAUUUAAGACAAACUCUGCCACCAAGAAAAGAAAAAAAAAAGAAAAAAAGGUAGCAGUAUAACCUGAAGAAAAGGUAAAAAAAAAAAAAUCACGCCACCACUAAGUCGUUCCCUUUGUGCCCAAUGCUGCCGCUGCCGAUGAGUUCGCCGUUGUUCAGGAUUCCGAUAAACUCUUUUUCUUUACCAAAUCAAAACAAAUUUAGAAGAAAAUUUUGUCAAAAAGAAAUAACAUUUAAGCAUGCCCUAAAUACAAAACAACUUAAAAUAAUUUUUAAAAAAGGAGCAAACCAAUUCUCUCCCUCUCCAGACCGAGGAAUUCUACACUGUCACACUUGCACCACGUCAUCAAUAACAAGCCAAUCACAUUCCUUCUUUUUUAAACAAAAGUACAAUAAAAAUGCUUUUUUACAAUCAUGAUGGGACAUAUAUUCUUAAAAGGAUUAAUUUGAUUGGUUUGUUACGCCACGUCACUAAUACACCCGUUGCAUUCUAGAAUUUUUCCUCCAGACCACUCUUUUACUAAUGCUCUCUCUUUGUGUUUUUAUUUCAGCUCCUGUGUGUGUGUAUGUUGGGCCUCAACCACCACCACUAAACUCCAUAGAUGAGUUUACAAAAAAUUGUAGAGAGAGAGAGAGAGGGAAGAGAAAGAGAGAGAUGAAAGUCUUAAUAGAGAGGGAUGUAAAAAAGAUAAAUACAUCCCCUCUGAGAGGCAGAGAUGUAAGUACAGAGAGCCCAUGUGAAAGAGAGAGAAAGUGAGAAAAAAAUAAAAUAUCUACAAGAACUAAAACUUUAGAUUUAAAAAAAGGCACCGUAGCUUAACGACGGAACGCCGAUUUCGAAUAAGUUUUUUUUCUUCACCAAAUCAAAGCAAAUGUAGAAAAAAAUUUCAUUCAAAAAAAUUAAAAUUUAAGCGGGCCUUAAAUACUAAAACAUCUUAAAAUAAUUUUAAUAAAAGGGGAAAAAAAAAAGGGAGCAAACCAAUUCUCCCUCUCUCUUGACAAUUCUUUUACUGUGUCUCUCUCUUUGUGAUUUUUUUUCCCAAGCUCCUUUGUGUGUGUGUUUGGUUAGAAAAAAUUAUAAAGAGAGGAAAGAGAGAGGGAAAGAUGUAAAAGAGGUAAAUACACCUCCUUCUGUGAGGGAGAGAGAUUCAAGUACAUAGAGUCCAUGUGAAAGGAAGAGAGAGCUCGUGAGAGAGAGAGAGAGAGAGGGGGGAGAGAGAGAGAGAGAGAGAGUGAGAAAAAAUUAAUAUAUUUACAUGAACUCAUAUUAAAAAAAGUGACGUGGCUUACCGACGGAACGCCGUUUGGCUUCUCCUUAGUAUAGAGUGACGGAACGCCGUUUUCCGAUAAACUCUUUUUCUGCACCAAAUCCAAACAAGUGUAGAAAAAAAUUUCAUUAAAAAAACUAAAAUUUAAGCAAGCAUUAAAUGCUAAAACAUCUUAGAAUAAUUUUAAUAAAAAGGAAAAAAAAUAGGGAGCCAACUAAUUCCCUCUCUCUCUUUACCAUCCUUUUCCUGCUUUUCUCUCUUUGUGAUUUUUUUUUUCUGAGCUCCUUUGUGUGUGUGUGUUGGGUUAGAAAAAAACGGAUAAUUGCUUAUAUACUCCUAAAAACUUUCUGACUUUCUAAUUUACCCCUCUUAGAAGACUAAUAUUGAAAAUAUUCUUUUUACGUUCCAACCUAUUUUCAAUAUAUCCCUAGAGUUAAAUUCUGUUAAUGAACUGUUAGCAAUAGCUGUUAUCUCUAUAAAAUUACUAUUUUGUCCUUUCCAAUAUACUCUUCUACCAUUACCAACUUUUCUUAUUUGUCCUUAAGUUAGGGGCACAAAAAGUAUUUUAAUUUUUGGUCUUUUCGAAUAUACUCUUCUACCAUUACCAAAAUUUCUUGUUUGGCCUUAAGUUAAGGGCAAAAGAAACAUUUUGAUUUUUUUUUAACUCUGGUAGAUAUUUAACUCACGUUUAAUUUAAGUUAACUUAACGGGGGAUAACUGUAGGGAUAUUUUAGAAUAACGGAGGAAUAUAUGACGGGUAUAUUGGAAAGAAAAAAAAAAGUAGGUAUAAAUGAGAUAUAUAGGUAAUUAUCUCUAGAUAAAAUUAUAGAGAUGGAGAGAUGAAAGUUUUAAUAGGAGAGAGAGAUGAAAAAGAGGUAAAUACAUCCCCCUCUGUGAGAGAAAGAUGCAAGUAUAUAGAGCCCAUGUAAAAGAAAGAAAACCCAUGUGAAAGAGAGAGAAAGAGUGAGUGAGAAAAAAUUAAUACAUCCAUAUGAACUCAUAUUACAAUUUAUAAAAAAGCAAUGUGGCUUAACGACAGAACUACUGUUUCACUUUUUUUUUUUUUUUUUUUUUUUUUUUUUUCUGAGCUCCUUUGUGUGUGUAUGUUAGGUUAGAAAAAAUUAUAGAGAAAGAGGGAACAGAGAGGGAGAGAUGAAAGUUUUAAUGGACGAGAUAGAGACGUAAAAGAGAUAAAUGCAUUCUCCUCUGUGAGAAAGAGAUAUGCAAGUACAUAGAGCACAUGUGAAAGAGAGAGAGCCCGUGUGGAAGAGAGAAAGAGAGAGAAUGAGAAAAAAUUAAUACACCCACAUAAACGUAUAUUACAAAAAAACGACGUGGCUUAACGACGGAACACUAUUUGAUUUCUCCUUUCGUAUAGAGUUUAAUAGAUCACGGUUUAAUUUUGUAUUCUAUAUGGGACUCUUAUUUUUUUAACAUAAACAAUGCAUUAAUGUAAUGAUUAAAGUAGCACAGUAACAAUGGAGAAAGGCAUGUCAAAUUAUUAUUCUAGAUAAUAAUUGAGAAUUGAGAAGUAAUUAAAAGAGACAGUUGUUUCAAUAAAAAAAAUUUUGGAGUAUUACUAGCUUGAAAUAACAAUCUUAUUUUGGGGAGAGUUAAAUAAGUCCUACAUUUGACAAAAUAUACCUUCCUUAUCUCUCUAAGCUUUGACCAUAUUAAUGAAAUAAAUUAGCCUCAAAUAAUCAGGUAUUAUUAUUACAUGAAAAUGCUAAAAACAGAUACAACCUCAAAGCUAAAAUUUCUUAAAUUAUAAUUGGUCUAGUAAAUUACUACAUAAAAUAAACAGAUAGGAGAUUAGAGAGACCUAAACUCAUUUAUCGUCGGAAAUAAUGUUAAGGGAUGUUUAUACAAAGACCAUCCAAACUUUUGCAAAUAGAUUUCUGAACUUCUAAUUUUGGUAAUUGGGUUCUCUAAACUUUAUCAAAUAGCUUAAUAUGCCUAUGCCGUGAAGUGAACUUAGAGAAGCUAUAAUUAUACAAUCGUUUUGCUUGCAUAUCUUUCACGCGGGCUUGUAAAAUCGUUUAAAAAUACUGUGUAUAGCUUACAUGUGUAUAUAUGAAUAUAUAUAUAUAUUGUAUGUGUGUGUGUAUAUAUGUAUAUAUAUGUGAUGUAUAUAUGUAUAUAUGUGUGGUAUAUAGUCGUGAUAUAUAUAUAUAUAUAUAUAAUUGGGCUGGAAUACUAUUAAUAGUAUUUGGCAGUUUUUACUAUCGAAUUUUUAACUCUUGAAUGAAAAAUUGUAAGAUUAGGAUUAUAAUGGUCUCCUAGCUAGGGUUUAGUAGCAUUCAUUCUAGAAUUGAAUGGGUGGUUAGUUGAAUAAUAUAAUCUAUAAUAUGAAAUUAAUGAAAGUGUAGAUUGAACGGCUAAAAAUCAAUAGUAAAAGAUUCCAAAUACUAUUAAUAGUAUUCCAGCUCAACUCUCUCCCUCUCUCUCUCUAUAUAUAUAUAUAUAUAGUAGGGUUAUUAUACUAUUAGGAGCACAACAAUGACUGUGCUCUUAACAGCAUAGUAGACAUACUCUAUAUAUAUAUUCUUCUAACUAUAAUAAUAAUUACGCAUGAAAAUUGAAGAAUAAGGUGAAUUUUUCUUAAUUUUUUUAUUACUUUUGUAGGCAUUUGAAUCGAAAAAAUAAUUUUUUUUUUAAAAAAAAGCUUUAUAAAAUUAUAUUAAAAUAUGCGACCAAAACGGCGGUGUUAGUACCUUUAAUUAAGGAAAUGAGCCUGUUGAUUAUUUGAUAAAGUUUUAAAAAAAUUAAUUGCUAAGAUUAGAAGCUAAGUUGUCUAUUAACAAAAGUGUUAAGGUUCAAAGGGUCUUUGUACAUUUUUUUUUCCCUAUCGAAUUUAGUAUUACGCGGACUCGGAAUUCAUUCACGACAAAAUAACUAUUCCUUGCUUAUCCCCAAAAAGAAGCAAAAUUUUUGACUUCUCGAAUUCAAAAUAGAGAUUCGAAUCUUCGAAAGCCACACUUACUUUUAAUACAGAAGCCGCAAUUUCUACGCCUCUUUUUCGCAAAAGCCCCAAAUUCUGAGCUUCUUCCAGCAGCAAAUCUUGGCUUGUGGAAUGGUCAGAGAACAGCACUCUUAAUGGGAACAGAAAUGGUCAAGAGGUCGGCUGACGGGCGAAAACUCGACUUCAAAAGCUUCUGCUUCUAGCUACAGCAAAAAAAACUGGAUAUUAAUCAAAACAUAAAACAAUUCUAGAUCAGCUACAGGCGAAAACUCGACUUAAAAAGGUUCUGCUUCUAGUUACAGCAAAAAGAACUGGAUAUUAAUCGAAACAUAAAACAAUUCUAGAUCAGCUACAGGCGAAAACUCGACUUAAAAAGCUUCUGCUUCUAGUUACAGCAAAAAGAACUGGAUAUUAAUCGAAACAUAAAACGAUUCAAGAUCAGCUACAGACGAAAACUCGACUUAAAAAGCUUCUGCUUCUAGUUACAGCAAAAAGAACAGGAUAUUAAUCGAUAUAUAAAACAAUUCUAGAUCAGUUACAGGUGAAAAGUCGACUUAAAAAGCUUCUUCUUCUAGUUACAGCAAAAAGAACUGAAUAUUAAUUGAAACAUAAAACAAUUCUACUCCGGCAAAGACAAACUAGUCCUUACAUGAGACUCCACCAAAAGGAAAAUCAUAACCUCAAUUUUAGCUUAAGGACCCUUUUAUCCACUAACCAGGCAAUAAUAAUUAAAAAAAAAGGGUUUUCAACCUGCUAAAGCAGUUAUAUUAUCAUAAGCAUAAAGCAAGGGGGAAAAAAAAAAAAAAAAAAAAAAAACAGACACACAGGGUGCACUUGUUUCACUAAAAAUAGAGAGUGCAAUAAUUUUGAAAUGUAAAUGCCCACUUCCAUUAUUUGGUUUACCACGACUUCACCUUCGGUCGAAAAUUGAGGGAAUAAAUAUAUAUAAUAUUAAUUCAUUUCUCACAUCUCUAACUUUUACACCAUUCACUCUCUGUUAAACAAACAAUAGAAUUGAGAGAACUUCAGUUUGAAAGAGAAGCAACUUUUACCUAAACUUUAAUUCGUCUGAAAAUCUAUUUCGAUAUGAACUUCACCGGAAAGUGAUACAAACAGAUGCACGGGAGGAGUCAGUCAAUACAGCUACAGGAAGAUGACACAAUGAUAAUAACACAUCACAAAAAGCUCAGCAUAAAUGGCUUUGCCAAUGUUUUCAUCUUUAGACAUAGCAAUCAUAUAUCAAGAAAUAUUAGACAUUAUCGAAAAGGUAGAAGGUCCGAUAUAUUGUCCUGGUAGGUUUCGCUCCAGAAGGAAUUUAAAGUAUAAAACAAUAAAUUAUCUGUUCGUUAAGUACAGCACCAAUAAAAGCCUACUCAUUCAAACAGCAAACCUAGUCAACCCCAACCUCUUUAAAGCACAUAGAAAACAGUAAUCACAUUUUAUCAUAGUAAUGGAGAUUGUUCAAAAAGAAAAUUUACAAACAAGAAACAUACGUAUCAAGUUGACUCAUAAAGAAUCCUCAUGAGCCUCACUCCAUGAUUUUUUGGUGGUCACUGAUUAUUCACAUAUAAUGCCUUUUUAGUGAAUGAUACUCGUUGAUGAAUUCACAACAACGCUUUGAGGAGUUCUAAACUACAGGGUUAGUUACUAGAAGAUACUCGGAAAAUUCUUCGAAAGUUUUUACCAGAAAUGGCAUUUAAUGCGCAGGACUACACACACUUCAUGAUUCACAUUCAUAUGCUCUCUAAAAACAACAUAAUGAAGAGAUUUGAAGCUUACAAUGACCUUACUCUUAUGCCUCCAUUGGCAACAAAACGUACAGUACAAAACGACAUGUAAAUUUUGCAGAAUAAAUCAGUCUCAAAAAUGUAUCCUACUUAAUCCUCAUGAAUUUCUUUAACAAAAGAGAAUACCAUGUCAGUAUAAUUGUCUAUACAAUUAUACUUGCAAAUACUUUGACGCAAAAGAUGUAAGCCUCAUUACUUGUUGUAUGUAAAAUAUUUUCUCUUAAAUAGAAAAAUGAUCCUGGGAAAUAUUCACUAAUGGACAAUGUUGAUGGUGCAAAAAAAAUAUCAUCAAUGUAAACUGACGAGACAAAAGGCUAUAAAAAUCUUGCAGAUUAAAUAUAAUAACAGCAAAAACUAAUCAGAAAACAUCUUGUAGAUCAAAAUCUAAAUACCCCAAAGUAAUCAAAUCAAGAGCUGACUAUUUUAUUCUAAAUUGCUUCAUUUUAAUAGUAAAAACACCAUUAUCUGACGACCUGACAGGAAGUGUUGGCUUAAGUCACAUCAAUCAAUAUAAUAUGGAAGGUUAAGUAACCUGCGAAAGCAGAGUCUCAUCAGUGGGGAGCCUCAGGUCAUCCUUUGUGUUCCCAUUCUCAGACAGAAGACUCACCUACAGGACAACAUCUCAGGUAAGUUAAUUUACAAGCAGGGUUUAGUUCACUCAAGUCUUAUUAUUGGAAAAAUAAUGAUGGGGCAAAAAAAAGGAAAAAAAACCUAACAGUCAAAAAGAACCAAAAUGUAAAACUACUUGGAAAUCAGCGUUGCAUACUUAACUACAGCAAGAGAGAUUACAAAAAGACAUACAAAGCCAUCUUCAGAUAUAUCAAUAAGUUGAUAGUCCGUGCGAGUGACACGACGGACCUGAAAAAUUAAACACAAUUGUCAAACACCACAUUAGGUUGUCGGAUACUGUGUCUCUAAGAAAGUUAAAAUUAAAAAGAGGAUACAUCAGAGUUAUGGGAUGAAGGCACAAUAUCAUCAAGCUUCUCGGAGUUGAAGAUAUCAAUCCCAACAAAGUGGCACUUGGCAUGACCGUGCUUGCCAGUUUUAGAUGUUGAGAUAUCAAAAACCUAUGAGUCCAAAAAGGCAAAUUAAAUUGAAGGCAAGUUCAAUCUUAAAAAAAUAUAAAUAACAACAAUAUUCACCAGAGUCAUUAAUAUUUUUAGGACAACAUAUUCAUCUUCAGAAAUUGCAUUUCAACAGUAAGCAUAGCAUUUUCCAUAAGUUAUAUAUGGACACAAAGCUUACAGAACAAAACUACCAUAACAAUGAAAUCAGAAAAAGCAAAGAAAACUCUGCUGAAUUACACGUCAUCUCAUAGUGGCGCUCCACAAAGUAAACAAAUAACAUAUGUUACAUCUUCCCUAGGUAAUGUGUAACAAGAGUAUCCCCCUGGAUUCUGACUUGCUUUAACUGAAUUCAAUUUGUUGCUUACUAAAAAACCAAAUGGAAGUUGGCAGUCUUCUGCAAGUAUAUUAACAUGUAAGUUCAAAGUUAUUGUUAUGGAAAAUAAGAAUUAAGAUCAACUAAUUUUACUUGAGCCCUCAACUAUGAUGCCAAACACAUCAUCCUAUUUGGUACAUUGAGGAGCUAGGAUCAGGUGAAACUGCAGCUAGGAAUCCAUGGUAUGAUGAAUGGAUUAGUGACUAUAAGCGGAAAGAAAGGGACCAUGUGCACUAAUCUGCUUUCAUACACAUCUACACUAAAGAAUAAUGAGAAGAUAGAAAAGAAAAAGAGUGCAAGUAGGCAUAAGGCUUGGAACCGAGGAUCUAAGAUAAGGAAGCAAAAAACACCUUCCCACUAAGCUAGAUGAUAAUUGCAGCCGAAAUUUCAAAAAUCCCAUGUGUUGCCUACAAUAUAUAAAUAUUGCUUUCGCUUUCUGGCACUUUGCAAACACAUGAUCAUAUUCUCCAUGAUACCGCUGACCUAUUAAUGACUUAUUCAUGGAAAAUUAGAUUCAAGUGCAUUUCUAACGUCAAUGUUAAAACUAUUUUUGUUGUGUAAGAUUAUACCGUUAGGUCAUUUUGUAAUAUAAAUUUGGCCACUGUGAAAUCCAUCAAGCCGACCUGCGCAAAAAUUUCGACGCCGUAAUCAUUAAUGGUGAUGGAAGGGUAAUAACAGUAAGGGGAAAAUAGAAAUGUUGGAAUUAAUUUCUAUCUUCAUAUACAUCAUGUUCAGUUGGUGUGUGGCUAAGGUAAAAUAAUAAAAAUCCCUUAAUGUGGACAUCAAAUUCUAGGAUCAAUCUUCAUAUAAAUGUGAUCAGGUCAAUAAAUCUAGUCUAUCUUACUAAUCUAUGAGCUAGCAAGUUCAUGUAAGUCACCCUGAUUUUACUGGACUAAAGAAGCCCUGUCAGCAUUAAUCUAGCACGACUAGCAGUUAUUCUUAUGUCCAAUUCAUUGCCAUCCCUAUGGAAAAACAUAUUUUGAUCUUUCUGUUACAUAGCCUCUAGUACUAGUACUAUAUAAAUACUAAUUUGUCUACUACGGGUACUACAACUCAUGAACUCUGAAAGCACUUCACUUUACUAACUUUCCGAUUUCCAUUAGUCAAUCUCCAUAAUGAUUCUUCAACAAUAAUUUCUCAUAGUCGCAGCCAAUUCCAUAUAGCACAGCCAAUGCUAACAAAAGACUUCAACUAAGAAAUUAAUGUCUAUCCUUCAUCUAGCUAGUCUCCUCAAGAUUUGCUAUUAAAAAGUCAGUGCAUGACCAUGUUCUACUGCUAGUGAUUAUUACGUAGCUGGUAAAAAAAUGUACAAAACUUAUUUGACCUAUGAGCCAUUUUGAGUUGACUACCAAUCUUUCAAAAUUUUGAUUUUACCAACAUUUCAAUUUGUUUGAUUUUACUAAACUUGGAAAGACAAUCAACGCAUUUGAAUUUUGAAAUCAAAGUACCAUUGACUAACUCAAAUUAAACAAAUUAAAAUAUUGGCCGGUAAAAUCAAAAUUUUGAAAGGUUGGAUAAACUCAAAAUAGUUCAUAGUUUAGGUAAGUUCUGUACGUUUUUACCUAGCAUAGUUUGAUGUCCUUCUUGCACGAAACCAAGAUAAAUCUUUAACUUGAUUCUCCAUAUUCCCAAUAACUUUGCCUCAAAAUAUUAGUUAAAAAUCAGAAAAGAAAAAUGAGGCCUAAAUUAAAUUGCAACACCGUAAAAGUUCAUAAUAUGCUUGCUUAAACCAAAAACCGCCUCCGCCAUAUUUUGAACUAUCAAUCUCAAGAGUAAUCUUUAUGAUCUACUUCUCGUGAUUAUUACACCACUCUAACAACAACAUCAACAACAAAACAUCCAAUUUCUCAAGCUAAGAUUUAAAUCUCAUCCAUUACACACAAAAUUGUGAUUACGCAACCAAUCAAAAACAUCAAAUUUUCGGCAUCUAACAACACCGAAUCAUGAGCUCAAAUCAACUGAAUCAAAAACUGGGGGCUAGGGUUUGAGGACGGGAACCUUGCAGGGUCGGCCCUUUGACGAUGUACCCGUUCUUGCGGAUCGCCCCCGCUUGUUGAGGGUACGUCUUCGAGGCGCCCGCGUCGGCCUUCGACUCGAAUUGGUGUUCCUCGUCCAUUGUUGAGCGAUGAAGGGAAUCGAGGAGGAGGAGGAGCAAUGGAGAAGCGAGAGGAGAGGAGGGCUGGCAAAUGAGCGAGCCGGCUCGCGUUCGACUCGUGUUCGACUCGAUACUUGGCUCGCUCGAGCUCGAAUCGAAAUUAAAUAAGCCGAGCUUGAACAAAGAAAAAGGCUUGAAAUUUAUUUCAAGCCAAGUUUGAGUAUUACUCGGCUCGUUCGAAUUAGGCUCGAAAAGCUCGAAUAUAUAUAUAUAUAUAUAUAUAUAUAUAUAUAUAUAGUAGAGCUACUAUNNNNNNNNNNNNNNNNNNNNNNNNNNNNNNNNNNNNNNNNNNNNNNNNNNNNNNNNNNNNNNNNNNNNNNNNNNNNNNNNNNNNNNNNNNNNNNNNNNNNNNNNNNNNNNNNNNNNNNNNNNNNNNNNNNNNNNNNNNNNNNNNNNNNNNNNNNNNNNNNNNNNNNNNNNNNNNNNNNNNNNNNNNNNNNNNNNNNNNNNNNNNNNNNNNNNNNNNNNNNNNNNNNNNNNNNNNNNNNNNNNNNNNNNNNNNNNNNNNNNNNNNNNNNNNNNNNNNNNNNNNNNNNNNNNNNNNNNNNNNNNNNNNNNNNNNNNNNNNNNNNNNNNNNNNNNNNNNNNNNNNNNNNNNNNNNNNNNNNNNNNNNNNNNNNNNNNNNNNNNNNNNNNNNNNNNNNNNNNNNNNNNNNNNNNNNNNNNNNNNNNNNNNNNNNNNNNNNNNNNNNNNNNNNNNNNNNNNNNNNNNNNNNNNNNNNNNNNNNNNNNNNNNNNNNNNNNNNNNNNNNNNNNNNNNNNNNNNNNNNNNNNNNNNNNNNNNNNNNNNNNNNNNNNNNNNNNNNNNNNNNNNNNNNNNNNNNNNNNNNNNNNNNNNNNNNNNNNNNNNNNNNNNNNNNNNNNNNNNNNNNNNNNNNNNNNNNNNNNNNNNNNNNNNNNNNNNNNNNNNNNNNNNNNNNNNNNNNNNNNNNNNNNNNNNNNNNNNNNNNNNNNNNNNNNNNNNNNNNNNNNNNNNNNNNNNNNNNNNNNCUCGAAUUAAUUUCAAUCCAAGCUUGAGCUUAAAUUUAGGCUCGAAAUUAAUUUCAAGCCGAAUUUGAGCCGAGGUAAGCUCGCUCGAGCUCGGCUCGUUUCCACCCCUAGAGGAGAGUGGGAGAGGGGAGGAUUAUAGAGUGAGCUAGGGUUUCUUUCCCGUUUGGAGGACGAUCGAGCUCCACCGUUGGAUGGUGGGACACAUGAUCAUGAUCUACGGUUAGAGAUGAUAUACGAUUAAUUUGAAAUUAUUCGAACGCUUGAACCCGCUCACUUAAAUCCCUUUUAUAUAAAAUUUUAGAUAUUUUGAUAAAUUAAAAUUAACAUUUAAAAAUUUUAAAAAUUUUACAAUUAUAAAUUGAAAUUUAAAUAUUUAAUUUGAAUUGAUAAUUUUUAAAACAUAAAACUAUAGCACAUAGAAUUCAUUUUGAAAAUUAAAAAUAAAAUUUCAAUUCAACAUUAGAAUUACGCCUUUGAGUUAAAAAUUCGAAAACAGAGCACAGUUGAAAUUUAUAUUCGAUUCAAAACUCAAAGCAAAAAUUUAGUCCAAAAUUUGAACUUUAAUUAAAAGAAUCGUAAUUCAAAGUUUGAAUUUUUAAUUUGUCUUAAAAUUUAAAUUUUAAUUAUGCAUAUUAGUCCAUUUUGUUUAAGAGAUAAUUAUAAAAUUUUGUACAUAUUGUAUUACUAUUAGUCAUUAAAAUAUUUAAGUUAAAAGUCGUACAAACCGCACCCAAGUUUUAACAAAUUUUGAAGUGAUUGUAUGAGCUUUACUAAUUUUGUUUACCAUCUAAUUUUUACAUUUCUUAUAAUUGAAAGAAACUUACAAAUAUUUUACUAAAUAAUAUCAUAUUAUAUUAUUAUUAGAAUUAUUCUUAUUCGCAUCAGGAAAAAAAAAAACUUUUUUUCUUUUUUUUUCUGUCCUUUUCUUUUUUUUGACUUUUUUUUAUUAAAAAAUUACUAAUUUUGAGAUUUUGUAAAAGUGGGUCAUUAUUUUAAAUAUUGGUCAAAAUAUUCUUAUUCCUUUUUUCUCUUUUUUUUUUUUAUCUCGUUCUUUCUUUUUUCUCUCCAACAUUAUCGCUUCUUCCACCGUUUUCAUAGCUCUCGAUGACGAUAACGAAAACAGUGCCGCCUUUUCUUCCUCCACUCCGGCUCCAUCGUCGCUGGCAUUGAGGCAGUGCUCGUUGUUAUUCGUGAGGGUGAAGAUAANAACAAAUUUUGAAGUGAUUGUAUGAGCUUUACUAAUUUUGUUUACCAUCUAAUUUUUACAUUAAAGGAAAUUGUUUUAGCAUCUUGUCCCCAAAUAAAGAUAAUAUCAUAUUAUAUUAUUAUUAGAAUUAUUCUUAUUCGCACAGGAAAAAAAAAAACUUUUUUUCUUUUCUUUUCUGUCCUUUUCUUUUUUUUUGAUUUUUUCUUAUUAAAAAAUCACUAAUUUUGAGAUUUUGUAAAAGUGGGUCACUAUUUUAAAUAGGCCUUUUUGCAUAAAAAAAUCCACUUAUUUUGGGCUUUUGCAAAACCGGGUCACAUUUUUCGUUUUUGCAGAUUCGGUCCGCUUUUCCAGCAAACUGACCAAAAUACCCUUAUUACUUUUUCUCUUUCCUCUUUCUCUCUCCUCUUCGUUUCUGUCGUUCUUUUUUUUUUUUUUCNNNNNNNNNNNNNNNNNNNNNNNNNGGAGAAGGAAAGACGGGAAGGGCAGGGAAGAGCGAGAGAGGCGCCGUCGUCGGAAACUGUGGAGGAGAGUCAGAGAAGAAAAGAAAAGAAAAAUGCAAAAAAAAAAAGUCACAGCCCGGCCUUAGGGCGAUCGGAGGCGAGGAAGGUUGGGGCGCCGGCGGCGACGCCGCUCUGUCUUCGCCGCUCUCUGGGAAGAGAAAGAAAAAAACAGAACGAGAGAAAAAAAAGAAAAGAAAAAGGUAUAAGGGCACCUCCGCUCCGUCUUCGCCGCUCUCUAGGAAGAAAAAGAAAAAAGAACGAGAGAAAAAAAGAGGAGAGAGAAAGAGGAAAGAGAAAAAGGUAUAAAGGUAUUUUGGUCAGUUUGCUGAAAAAGCGGACCGAAUCUGCAAAAACUAAAAAGAUAGCCCGAUUUUGCAAAAGCCCAAAAUAAGUGGAUUUUUUAUGCAAAUUGGCCUUUUAAAUAUUGGUCAAAAUAUUUUUAUUUCUUUUUUCUUUUUUCUUUUUUUUUAUCUCAUUCUUUCUUUUUUCUCUCCAACAUUAUCGCUUCUUCCACCGUUUACAUGGCUAUCGAUGACGGUAACGAGAACAAUGCCGCCUUUUCUUCCUCCACUCCGGCUCCAUCGUCGCUGGCAUUGAGGCGGUGCUCGUUGUUAUUCAUGAGGGUGAGGAUAGAAACGCACUCGUGCUUCUCCAAAGAGCGAAAGAAAAAGUAAGAGGGUAAAAGAAAAAUAAAAAAAAUAAAAAGAGAAAAAAAAAAAGAAGUGCGGUUGAGCGGGUGGGGGCUCUGGGAGCACGGAGGAGAGCGAGGAGGGAGGAAAGGAGAAGCCGCUUUGAGACAAUAUAGUAGGUCUCUGCGGCGAGAAAGCUUCGAAAAAGAGUAUAAUUUUUGUUUCAAAUAGUAUAAUUUUCGUCUCAAAUAGUGUAAUAUUCGUCUCAAACAGUAUAAUUUUUUUAAAAUAGUGCAGCUUUAUUUGAACAUAGCGACUUCAUCUUCUUUUUCCUCCUUUUCUGAUUUUUGAUUUUUUCUGUAGCAACAACGAUAUAUUUUCUUUCAAGAAGAAAAUUAAUAUUUUUUAUUUUUUAUUUUUUAUUUAUCCUCUAUCUUUUUUCGCUUCUUGGGGAAACGAGGGUGUGUCUUCGUCCUCAUUCUCAUCCUCACGGGCGACAAAGACACUGCUUCGGCCACGAUCCGACAUCGGUGGAGGUGGAGGAAAAGAAGGCGCCCGAAUUUAUAAAAAUUCAAAAUAAUCGUCCACUUUUACAAAAUAUCAAAACUAAUAGUUUUUUAAAAUACAAAUUGGCCUUUUUUUUCUCUCUCCUAUUAACUCAGUUCGAAGAAAAUAUUAAGACAUAACAAAUAUAAAACGACAAUAUAUUUGAGCUAUAGGAUGAUAAAAUAGAAACGCGCUAAUAUCCAUGGAGACAUAGCGAAGUUUACUCUCUUUUUAAACCCAACCAAGUACAGCAAAUUGAAAAUAAUUAAGCUGGGCCAUGGUGGAUCAAUACUUGAUUUUCUAGGCCUAAUUUUUCAAUACAUGACUGUACUUACUGGAUUGGGUCGCAUUUGAACUACAUAAAAUUUUGGGUUAUAUCAGCAAAAUCAGGUUCGUCCUUUUUUUUAUUUAUAUANCUACAUAAAAUUUUGGGUUAUAUCAGCAAAAUCAGGUUCGUCCUUUUUUUUAUUUAUAUAUAAUUUUUUGAAUACUCUUUUGAAAUAACAAUUCUUUCCUGGCGUGACGAAAAAAUUAUUAGGUAUUUUUCAAAUCCAAACGUUUGGUAUCCUACGAAUUAGUGAAUAGUGUAAUUUCAUAAUUGUCCCUCCAUAGCUCAAAAUAUCAUCAACGCCCUCAUAAAUAUUAAAAUAUUCUGAAAUGCUACUAGAAAAAAUUCAUUCAAAUUUAAUAUGUUAGUUCUAAAAUUUAUUGUUACCCUAAAUACAACUAAAAAUUUAGUAAGCUUAUCACCAGGAAAGCAAUUUUUAUAAUUUUAACAAUUUUUAGGAAAAAAAGCUAACCAAAUAAAAGUGAUAAUUCAUGCUAUAAGUUGCAAGUAAAUUUAAAAUUUUUAUUCUAAACACACAAAAAAAAAAAAAAUCCAAAAAUAGCAUGUAGGGAAGCAAAUCUCUUACAAAUUUUUAUCACAAUUAAUCCGCGCUGUUUUAUAUAGGCGGUGCGAAAUCCAGCUAAAAUCCAGCAACGAGAUCAAUCCCGCGCCAAGGAUUCCAUACGCAUGGGUUUGCACCCAAUUCAAAUCUGGAUCUGAAUAUAAGAUCAUUAUCAUUAUUUAGAGUAGUUGAAUUGGAUCUUCAAUUACUAUGACAUGUUGAGAAAAUAAAAUUUGCGACUAUUCUAAGCCAAAAAUAAUAAAAAAAAUAACUUAAGGCUCACAACAAUAUGAAAUUUAUAUAUUAGACUUUCUAGUACGACGACCACUACAACAGAAUUAGGUUAUAGGGACACAUGUUUAGGACACUUUUGAGUAAGUGUCUCAUUUAUGCUAAAAUUUAAAAAAAACAUCUACUAAUGCCUAAAUAUAAAGCCCAAUCCAACCAAAAAUAAAAGAUUACUCUACUCAACCCACCACACCCAGUCUAUUUCGCCCGAUUACAAACAGAGAAGAAAAAAAAAAAGAAAAAUCAAUUACCAUCUUUUCUUCUCUCUUCACUCAAUUCACUGAAAUUCCAGACGAAAAGCCUUUCUUGUCGUCCUCCUCCGCCACCGCAGCCAACGAGAUAGAAUUUCGACGGUUGCUAAAUAUUUAAAUAACUUUUGGUAAAUUAGCAGCACUCUUUUAGUUUAUAGCGACACUCUUUAACUGUCACUAUAUACCUAGCGACCCCACAUAUAGCAACACUUUUUAAAAGUGUCGGUAAUUUUAGCUAGCAGCACUUUUUUGACAUGUACCUAUAUUUAAAAGUGUCGCUAUAGACCGUUUUUGUUGUAGUGGACCUCCUUAAUUUUAUUGAUAUCGACAUGGAAACUUCUUUUUGUUUUAUUUAGACUUUCUUAAUUUUCUUUUUAUGUUUUAUACUUAGUUAAGUUAAAAAUUUUAUCAAACGAUCAUAAGAUUUAUGAUAAAUUAUUAUCUUUCGAGAGAUAUUAGUGGCAUUUUANNNNNNNNNNNNNNNNNNNNNNNNNNNNNNNNNNNNNNNNNNNNNNNNNNNNNNNNNNNNNNNNNNNNNNNNNNNNNNNNNNNNNNNNNNNNNNNNNNNNNNNNNNNNNNNNNNNNNNNNNNNNNNNNNNNNNNNNNNNNNNNNNNNNNNNNNNNNNNNNNNNNNNNNNNNNNNNNNNNNNNNNNNNNNNNNNNNNNNNNNNNNNNNNNNNNNNNNNNNNNNNNNNNNNNNNNNNNNNNNNNNNNNNNNNNNNNNNNNNNNNNNNNNNNNNNNNNNNNNNNNNNNNNNNNNNNNNNNNNNNNNNNNNNNNNNNNNNNNNNNNNNNNNNNNNNNNNNNNNNNNNNNNNNNNNNNNNNNNNNNNNNNNNNNNNNNNNNNNNNNNNNNNNNNNNNNNNNNNNNNNNNNNNNNNNNNNNNNNNNNNNNNNNNNNNNNNNNNNNNNNNNNNNNNNNNNNNNNNNNNNNNNNNNNNNNNNNNNNNNNNNNNNNNNNNNNNNNNNNNNNNNNNNNNNNNNNNNNNNNNNNNNNNNNNNNNNNNNNNNNNNNNNNNNNNNNNNNNNNNNNNNNNNNNNNNNNNNNNNNNNNNNNNNNNNNNNNNNNNNNNNNNNNNNNNNNNNNNNNNNNNNNNNNNNNNNNNNNNNNNNNNNNNNNNNNNNNNNNNNNNNNNNNNNNNNNNNNNNNNNNNNNNNNNNNNNNNNNNNNNNNNNNNNNNNNNNNNNNNNNNNNNNNNNNNNNNNNNNNNNNNNNNNNNNNNNNNNNNNNNNNNNNNNNNNNNNNNNNNNNNNNNNNNNNNNNNNNNNNNNNNNNNNNNNNNNNNNNNNNNNNNNNNNNNNNNNNNNNNNNNNNNNNNNNNNNNNNNNNNNNNNNNNNNNNNNNNNNNNNNNNNNNNNNNNNNNNNNNNNNNNNNNNNNNNNNNNNNNNNNNNNNNNNNNNNNNNNNNNNNNNNNNNNNNNNNNNNNNNNNNNNNNNNNNNNNNNNNNNNNNNNNNNNNNNNNNNNNNNNNNNNNNNNNNNNNNNNNNNNNNNNNNNNNNNNNNNNNNNNNNNNNNNNNNNNNNNNNNNNNNNNNNNNNNNNNNNNNNNNNNNNNNNNNNNNNNNNNNNNNNNNNNNNNNNNNNNNNNNNNNNNNNNNNNNNNNNNNNNNNNNNNNNNNNNNNNNNNNNNNNNNNNNNNNNNNNNNNNNNNNNNNNNNNNNNNNNNNNNNNNNNNNNNNNNNNNNNNNNNNNNNNNNNNNNNNNNNNNNNNNNNNNNNNNNNNNNNNNNNNNNNNNNNNNNNNNNNNNNNNNNNNNNNNNNNNNNNNNNNNNNNNNNNNNNNNNNNNNNNNNNNNNNNNNNNNNNNNNNUUUAUACUAUAUAAAACAAGAUCAAUAUCUUUGAUUUAAAAUUUUAAUGUCAUAUUAUUACAUUUUGUAAGAUUUUUAUUUUCAGCCGUUGAUUUUGAGCCCCUUCGUUCACUAGGCAAAUGAUAUCGUAAAAUUAUAAAAUUUAUUUUCUAGGUACUUCAAAUACUCUAGAUCAAGUUUAACGGAGCCGAUCGACGAUUCGAAAAUCGCAACAUCGAAAACGAGCUGGAAGCACGGAAGGCUCCAUGCUUCCGAUAGCAUAGUAGCCUCACUCUAUAUAUAUAUAUAUAUAUAUAUAUAUAUAUAUAUAUAUAUAUAUAAUUUU
rnacentral:lncRNA from 1 species